CCCCGACAUGAACCAAGGAAGAGGACCAACAGGAGGAACAGGAACAAGUAAAUGUGGACCAAGUCAGCUAAGAUGGUCACUGCAGUUCAAGAAGGACGACCCUGGUGUUCUAAGCAUUGAGUGCACAAUCAACAGAUACUCUUUUCAGAAGACACUCUACGACACCGGAUCUGACGUCAACAUAAUGGCCGUAGUCACUUAUCAGCUCCUGCAUUAAACCAUGCCCCUACAACCAAUAUACAUUUAGCUAUAGAUGAUUUUCAGGUCAUUGACAUGGGAGAAGAUGAGUAUGAUCCACCCACCAACCUUGGAAGACAGUUCCUCAGCACUAUCAAAGCCAUCAUCUAUAUUGGAACCGGAGAAGUCCACAUACACUUCUCCUCUGAGAAGGUAUGUCGCUGUUUUACUGACCCUAACUAUAUAGUUGAAGACUCUAAGCAGGUCAGGACAAGAAGAAGACAUCGCAACCGCAACCAGAGGAGGCAAAUUAUCAAGGAAGGAUGGGUAGACUACGAAGGAGAAGUGAUAAGGACUGAAGACAUACCACUUGAACAUAACUGUCCUGAGGAGACCGUAGCACCGAGUUAGGUGUGGAGAGAGAAGAUAGUUAUAAAUGAAGAGGAGGCGCUGCCGGAAGUACCGACUACGCCACCCAACGAACCUCAGGACGAUUAAGAAAAUGGAGAGUCCCGCUCGGAGGACUUAAAAACACCGAACGCCUUGCCAAGAGGUAAACUUGGUAGUUAUCCUUUCCCUUUUAAUUAUUUCAAAUAGUUUACUUAGUUAAUCAUGUUCGUAUCAUCCUAGAAAGAAAAUAAAAAUGUGAAAAAAACUGUAAGCCCCAUGUGAGUAGACGAGUGGCAUAAAACCCAUAAGUACAUUCACUGUGGUGGCAUAAAAAUAAAAUAAAUAUUUUUCUGCUUUAUAAAAACAAAAAUAUAAAAACAGGGAGUAAUAUUUAUUAAGGAGUCUCAACAUGAUAAAGGCUAGAUAUUUAUGCUAACACUUAAUCAGUUCCACAAGCUUUGUUGUCUAUUUGAGCUCCACAGAAUUUAAGAAUCAAGAAGACUAGCAGACGGAGGACAUUCUAAUCGCUGUCAAAAUACUGCUGACUUUCAAACACACCUCUGCCACCUGCUAGCUACAUCAAGAGAAAUUACGUCAAAAUCCAGCUUGGGGGAGAGAACCCCCAUUUAUCUCGAUAAGUAUUUCUAUCUAUCUUUAUACUUAUACUAUAUUAGAAUAUAAAUACACAUAACUAUAAAAAACCAAAUAAAGAUUUUAUGCUUAUAUAUAUUUUGCUUAGUAUGUUUAAUAAAUAAAUAAAGUGGCCAUGCUAAUCUAUAUCUAAUAAAACUUAAGCAUGGAUAUGAUGAAUAGUUGCUCUGCCUAAUUUGCAAAUUUGAAGUUCUCUCUCAAGUUUAGAUAUAACUGUUAUAAUUUAAGGCUUGCUCUAGACCUAAACUUGUGGGAUGAAAACUUGAUCUGAAGUCUAAGUUGUUAACGGAUAUGAUAUGGGAAGGUUGAGCUGCUAUUUAUCUGUUCCUAGAGAUGCUAGAAUUCUGGAGAAUUUUAUCUUUGAAAAUCUUUAAAUGUUGCAUGAUGAGUUCCUGUAUGAUGAGAGUUUAAAUUCCUACCACAGAUAUAUAUACAUGCUUGCUAGACCUUGAGCCACACAUUUACUAUUUACUGCUUAUGAGCAUUGAGUGUGGUCAAGCUGUGUAGACCCUUAGGAGCUUGUCAUGUGGUUAAAUCAAGAUUCACUUGCACGUUCACUCAUACAUGCUACUUCUACUCCGGAAGUACCAUCCACAUAUAUCCACUCAUUUCCAUCUCCAAAACCACCCAAAAGUAUUCUACUCCUAAUCCGGGAGAGAAUAACCAAAAAUAUUUCUGUUUCCCCUUGUGAAAUAAAUGCUCAAGUUAUCUUGUUACUACCACUUGCUAUAUUAUCUCAAGAGAUGAAUGCUCUGAAAAAAAAAGAGAAAAAGAAAAUAAAAGAUACAAGGAAAUAAAAAGGAGCAAGUGCUCGGAACCUCGAAAGAAAAGAAAAAGAAGAGCAUCUCAUUCUCCUCAUAAAGUUUCAAAAGCAAGGAAGGUGUGUAUCCCCUCAAAGAGCAAAGUAGAAUUAGACUUCCACCACCAUUGUUAUCACCAUCAUCACCAUACACCAUUCAUUCCCCACACAUGCACAUCUUGAUUUGGCUUAUUGAUUUGUUUCUUUGGAUCCAUGGUUUGACUAUGCAAUAAAUGUCUUGUAAGUAUGUAUACUUUAUCUCCCACCUAUGAGCUCCAGAUAUUAAAGCCUUAUUAGAGUAGGGUGAGAGAGAAGACAAUGACACUAUGCUUCAUACCACAAAUACUAAAUAUUUUGAGAGAAGGCAUAUACCAUCACUGCCUUGGUAAGGAUCCAAAAAUACCACAAAAGAGAGAUCUAAGAGAGUCAUAUAAGGAACUCUGAGUUUUAUUUGAAAAUCUGCAAAAACCCCAGAGCUAUAGCUGAUCAAGAAUAAGAGACAUGGCACUUGGCUAGACUGUUCUAUCUUUUAACCACUCAAGACAGAAGUGACGGUUACAAGUCCUAUGGUGUAGGUAAAGUAAGUAAGUUUUAAGUCUUAACAGUUUAUUCUAACUCGGAGAUGAGAUCUUGUUUAAAUGCGUGUGUACUUCUAAGAAAUGAAACCACUGCAGAAACUCUUGAGUUCAUCCUUGCUCAGGGACGAGCAAGAGGUAAGCUUGGGGGAGUUUGUUGACGGUCCUUAAGUAUCAAAUUUAAUUAUCAAAUAAACAAAGAAAAGGAUCCAAAUGAAAUCAACAUCUAGACUUAGGGUUUUAUCUGACAGAAGUCCACGAGUUUUGGUGUUUGUCUAUUUCUGCAGGGGGUUAUCAGGAAAUAAGGAAGAAAGGCCCACAUGUCGGGAUUACAUAGAGAUAUCAACCCACCGCGCAAUUUUCUACCAUCUAGAAGACUCCAGAAGCCACGGGAAGGAAGCGGAGCCCGAAAGGGGCCAGGCCCAGGGCGCCUGCCCUGAGGACCUGGGCGCCCGCCCCCCUCUGGACUCCGUUCCGGACUCUCUUCGCACACGACGUUCCACCGACCUAUUGGAUCCAGAAUAACAUAGUACCACCUCGCCUAUCGACCCAAAAACGCAUAGAAGGGGAGGACUAUAUAAGGAGACCCCCUCUAGCCCCUGGAGGAGACAAGAAAUUAUCAUAGAGAUUGAGGGGUGCCCUCGAAGGAAAACCUCUUCUCUAAAUAAUAUUUCUUUUUAGGCUUAGCAACCAAUGUAAAGUAGAAAUAGAUCUUCUAGUUUCUACUAGAUUGAGAGAGAUAGAGUGGAGGUGUGGAUCGGAGGAAGGCCGGCCUGUCGGUGUCUACUCCGAGUUGUACCUGCGAGAUCAAGUCUCCUAACCCGAGGCUUGCUUCUAAGAUUCUUCAGUAAUUCGACUUCUAAUACUAGUAAGUUCUUGUUUUAUUGUUCUUUGGUUUAUGAGUUUACUUUAAUCCUCUUCCGGUUGAGUAUUAGAGUAAUCACUUGUUAGCGUAAACGUGGUGUUUAGGCUAGGGUACUCAUAGAUAUCCCCUGACUAGCUGGACCGUGGUAGUAGCGAGGAACGUGACAUUUCUGAGUUACCUUUGCAGAUCACAUCUCGUUAGCAGGACGGGUAGGUUUAUAGGUGCGGGUCGAACAUCCUUUGUGUUGUCUAGAUUCCGUGAGCCUCCCCAAUAGAACAGUAGAUCAUCCUUACCAAGGUUAGAACGAGACUACAGUUGCAGUCUUCUCUAUACAUCACUCACAUCGAGAGACAUUCUUUGUAGCCUAAAGGGAUAGUAGCAAUAGAUUUGGUUAGUCAGAUGCACCCUUUCUCCCAGUGGUAAAAAUAUAAAUACGAUACUCUGGAAAACCUCCCGGGUGAAAUGCUCACCGAUAUCCGUGCGCUUGCGGAUCAUUUUCUAAUUGCGUUACCAAAUAUCAACAUCCGCGCAAACACCGACAUGUUUGCGUGGAGUCCCUCGGACAUACCGGGCAUACCGAGGGAAGUCGCCGAGCACUCCUUGGAAAUUCGAGCCAGUUCCAAGCCAGUGAAACAACGGCUGCGUCGCAUCGACGAGGAGAAGCGCAAGAUCAUUGGCGAGGAGAUCCACAAGCUUUUGAUGGCCGGAUUCAUCAAGGAGGUUCACCAUCCCGACUAGUUAGCAAAUCCUGUAUUAGUUAAGAAAAAGAAUGGGAAGAUGAGGAUGUGUGUCGGUUACACGAGUUUGAAUAAAGCAUGUCCAAAAGUUCCUUUCCCUUUACCACGUAUCGAUCAAAUUGUUGAUUCCACCACGGGAUGUGAAACCCUUUCGUUCCUAGAUGCAUACUCUGGUUACCAUCAAAUAAAAAUGAAAGAAUCCGACCAGCUCGCGACAUCUUUCAUCACGCCUUUUGGGAUGUAUUGCUACAUAAUCAUGCCCUUCGGGCUUCGAAACGCUGGGGCAACAUACCAGCGAUGCAUGCUCCACGUGUUCGGCAAACACAUAGGGUCGACGGUCGAGGCAUAUGUCGACGACAUCGUCGUCAAAUCAAAGAAACGAGGCGACCCGAUCCAGGACCUCGAAAUUGCUUUCGGUUGUCUACACGCCAAUAAGAUCAAGCUCAACCCCGAGAAAUGCGUCUUUGGUGUACCCCGAGGCAUGCUCUUGGGUUACAUAGUCUCUCAAUGCGGCAUCAAGGCCAAUCCCAAGAAAGUCUCGGCCAUUGCAAGAAUGGGGCCGAUUCGAGAUGUCAAGGGAGUACAAAAAGUCACGGGGUGCUUGGCGGCGCUAAGCCGUUUCAUCUCGAGGUUAAGAGAAAAGGCAUUGCCACUGUAUCGGCUCUUGAAAAAGGCUGAGCGUUUCUCCUGGAGCCCCGAAGCCGAGGAAGCCCUUGAUAGCCUAAAGAGAACAUUGACCUCCGCCCCGGUCCUAGUUCCCCCUCAGCCUGCAGAACCUCUGCUCCUGUACGUCGCUGCAACAACCCAGGUGGUCAAUGCGGCUGUGGUGGUCGAAAGGUCGGAAGAAGGGCACGCGCUGCCGGUCCAAAGGCCGGUCUACUUCAUCAGCGAGGUGCUUUCGGAAACCAAGGUACGAUACCCAUAAAUCCAGAAAUUGAUCUACGCAGUAAUUCUCGCCCGACACAAGCUGCAACACUACUUCCUCGGUCACCCUAUCACGGUAGUCUCGUCCUUCCCCCUGGGAGAGAUCAUCUAGAGUCGAGAGGCCACAGGGAGGAUCGCCAAAUGGUCGGUCGAGCUCAUGACUGAGACCCUCACUUAUGCGCCCCGCAAGGCCAUCAAGUCUCAAGCUCUGGCAGAUUUCGUCGUGGAGUGGACGGAUUCCCAGCUCAAGUUCAAGCAGAGCUGUGGACAAUGUACUUCGAUGGAUCUCUCAUGAAGACGGGAGCUGGGGCUGGUCUGCUAUUCGUCUCACCCCUUGGCGUCCACAUGAGGUAUGUCAUUAGAAUACAUUUCGCCGUAUCCAACAAUGUUGCAGAAUACGAGGCCCUUGUCAACGGGCUAAAAAUCGCCAUCGAGCUAGGAGUUCGGCGCCUCGACAUUCGAGGCAACUCUCAGCUUGUCAUCGACCAAGUGAUGAAGGCCUCAAGCUGCCAUGACCCAAAAAUGGAGGCAUACUACAAGGAGGUGCGUCGGCUCGAGGACAAAUUCCACGGCCUUGAGCUCGUCCACAUCGCACGACGCUACAACGAGGCAGCCGACGAACUCGCUAAAAUCACGUCGACUCGAGGCACGGUCCCGCCCGACGCAUUCUCAAGAGAUCUGCACGAGCCAUCCGGUGACUUGGGCUCGGGUGCUGGCGUCGAAACUACCGCCCCCAUCCAACCGACGCUAUCGAAGCCCUGCUAGUAGCAGCAGAAGUAAUGGAGGUAGAGCAGCGUCCCGGUCGACCGUUCGACUGCCGUACGCCAUUCCUUGAUUGCCUGAUCCGAUGCGAGCUACCGGAAGAUCUAUCCGAGGCCCGCCGUAUCGCUCGAUGAGCCAAGUCGUACGUAAUCUACGGCAAAAGCGACGAACUAUACCGACGAAGCCCGGCCGGGGUCUUGCAGCGCUACAUCACCAUAGAAGAAGGUCGAAAGCUCCUCGAGGAUCUACACUCGGGGGCAUGCGGCCACCACGUAGGGAACGCUUUCCGACAGCGCUUCUACUGGCCAACGGCCAUAGCUGACGCCAUAGAGCUCAUACGCUCAUGCUAUGGGUGUCAAUUUUAUGCCAAGCAAACCCAUCUUCCCGCUCAUGCUCUCCAGAUGAUCCCCAUCACGUGGCCAUUCGCGGUGUGGGGUCUCGACCUCGUAGGCCCUUUACAGAAAGCACCAGGAGGAUACACCCAUUUGCUGGUAGCCUUUGACAAAUUCUCCAAAUGGAUCUAGGCUCGACCCAUCAUGAACAUCCGCUCCAAGCAAGUCGUCCUUUUCUUCACCGACAUCAUCCACCGAUUUGGGAUACCCAACGUCAUCAUUACCGACAACGGCACCCAGUUCACCAGCAAAAAGUUCUUGGACUUCUGUGACCGGCACCACAUCCGUGUGAACUGGUCUGCAGUAGCACACCCUCGAACUAAUGGCCAGGUCGAGCAUGCCAACGGCAUGAUUUUGCAGGGGCUCAAACCGAGAAUCUACAACCGGUUGAAGAAAUUCAGCAAGAAAUGGGUCGAAGAGCUCUCUUCGGUCCUGUGGAGCUUAAGGAUGACGCCUAGUAGGGCCACAAAAUCUACCCCAUUCUUCAUGGUCUACGGCUCUGAGGCUGUGCUUCCAACAGACCUAGAGUUUGGGUCACCUCGAAUCAAGGCCUACAAUGAGCAGACGAAUAAGGAAACUCGAGAGAACGCGGUCGACCAGCUCGAGGAAGCUCGAGACAUGGCCCUCCUCAACUCUGCAAGAUACCAGCAGAAGCUUCGACGCUAUCACGACAAGCACGUGCGCAAAAGGGAUCUGAACGUGGGCGAUCUCGUCCUACGGCGACGGCAAAGCAACCAAGGACGCCACAAGCUGACCCCACCCUGGGAAGGCCCAUACGUGGUGGCUGAGGUCCUAAAGCCGGGGAUGUACAAACUCAUAGAUGAGGAAGGGGCAGUCUUCACCAACGUUGAUUCUACCCCUAGAGUUUUGAAGUUUUAUGUUCUCACGUACAUUCUGUACCAAGAUCCUAUGAAUGAAUGCAUAAAUAAACGAGAUCUUUUCCUCGAGUAAUUUACUUUUUCGCCGAUCAAGGUCUCGACGUUUGAAGGGAGUACCAACUAUGACCCAUCAUAGUCAAUACUCCCUCGGGGGCUAGCAGGGGGGACCCCCCCAAGUUCCUAAAAACCGAACAAUGCUUUCUUUCCUAUAAGUAAACCUCGCACGGUCGAGUAGUAGAGGCACCUCGAGCUCCUUAAGGGCCGAGAGACGAUGAGCCUGAGAACCCCUACGCCCCAGGCUAUGGUAACUCUACUCACUCCCUCACCCUCGAGGCUAUCAAGGUCGCCUUAACAAAAGACCAAACGAGGAAUACAGACAUAGGUAGAAAAGGAAACAAAGGAAUUUCGAGCACAAAAAUAAGCAGAUAUUCACAAAUCAUAAAGACCAUUCAAAGUACAAUGUAUCACUUAAGGUAGAUAAUAAGUACUUUACAAUGGGCCUUGGCACCCAGAAUAGGCUCGCAGGCCGCAGUCCGUGUCUCGGCCCUCACCACCAUCGUCGGCGCCCGGGCUAGUCUCAGGAGGAAGCACUUCUAGCUCGAACAGCUUCGCCAGCCUUUCCCCAGGGAUCUCCGCGUCGUCGAUCAAGGCAUGGAGCCUCUCCUCGUUCUCGGCGUCGGUCUUAGAAAUGUCAGUGACGAAGCCAUGGGACACCACCUCCAUAUCAUAGGAAAAGCCCAAACAGACGACCGCUAUUGCUCGCUUCACCCCAGUAUGAAGGGCGUCCCGCACUCGAUCCCUCAGCGUGGCGCCUAGGUAGCACAGCUGAUCGACCAGCGCGUCGCCUCAAGCCCCCAUCCUUGACUCGUCCGCAGGCUCGAGCUCCCAGGAGGCUGAGAGGUCGCUUAUCACAGUCCUUAGUCGACCGUUUAAAGCAACCUCCCCCUCGAGCUGAGCCUUGGCAGAGCGGGCCUCGACCUAGGCAGCCAGAAGCUCAUCCUUAAGCCCUGCAAAGACCAAUACGGGGAAAUUAGACAACACGAAGAAACACCUUGCAAAAAGAAGUAUGAAAGUGUAAAUAAGCUUACCGCGAAUCCUCUCCUCCAAAGCAGUAUUUUGACCAACCAAAUUGGUGUUUGUCCUCUCAAUCUCCUUAUAAGAUCGAGCCAGGUCAGUGUUGGCGACUCGCAAGUCCUCGAUCACCUUGCCUGCCUGCGUGAUAGCUCCCUCUUUCUCCAACAGCGCUAUCUUCAGACGAUCGACGUCGCCAGAGAGGCUGCGAGAGCAAACCCGCUCUGCCUCGAGAUCCUCGAGGGCCUUCUUCCUAGCCUCCUCUGUGGCGCUGUGAGUGAUUUCGCUCUUCACACACUCUCCCUUCAUCUCUCGAUAGGCCUCUCGGGCAGAGGCAAGGUCAGCCUUGAUUAGGCCCUUCUCCUUGUCAAGAUCGGCGGCCACGUCCUUGUAAAAUAUGGCCUCUUCCCGGGCCUUGGACGCAGCCUCCUCAACCGUCAUAGUCCGCUCCCUCAGCUGCAUGACCUCUUCUGCUGCCUUCCUUGAGGCCUCUCGAGCUUCGACCAGGGCGGCCUCCCUCUCCUUCUUCUCCUCCUCGAGCGCCACAAGGUCCUUGUAGGCUUGGAGAAGCUUCUCCUGCGACUCUAGGAGUUGGUCGUUGAGAAGAGGGAGCUGCUCCCAGCCGCCUCUCACCGCGUGAAUGAAACCAGACUUCAAGCGGGAGGUCUCUUUUAGAUCCUGCGAACCAGUAGUUGGACAAUAAGAAUACGAGGCCAAAUAAUGUUGAUUGAGCCCAUUGUUGACAAUGUCGGACAUAAGUCCCACCACGUGCUUCAUCCAGAGACGAAGCUCCUCUAGAUGCUCGCACUUCUCGGCCUCCUUCCAAUCAUCCAUAAAGAUAUUGGGCUUUGAUGGAUCGGUGGAAGCUCGGAUACGGAUCCGAUCGGGGCCCCAGUUCUCCAUCUCCUCCUCCGUGCGUGCCUUGACGCCCCGGAUGAGCUCCUGGACAGUCUCGAGCGCCCCCCCGUGACGCAAGAACAGGUCAACAAGGGAGGGGAAUCGCCCGUCGUCAUCCACUAUCCUCCAGGUCCCGGUCUCGCCGGUAUCACCUCCGCCCGACGUCCUGGCUUCAUCCUCCUCAACGGUGCUGAGAUCCUCCCACAGUCAUGGGUCUCGAAGGAAUCCAGGAGCGAUCCCCUCGAUACCAUAAAUCGUGCCCUUGAUCUCUGACUGGGGGUCCGCAGGGGUGUUGACACUUGCUAACACCACUUGAAUACUAGGUUGUCAUCCCCAGCAUGGCACUAGAGUGUACUAUGGUAUUUAUACGCACACAGAUAAUCCGCAAGCGCACGGAUACCGUUAUAGCUUUUACCCGGUUAAAGGUUUUAUCGUAUCCACAGGGAAACGGGAGAACUGAUCUACGCUCUAACUUAACCAAGAUAAGUAAAUAGGUGUAAAUAGGAAAGAUGGUAGAAUCGAAUAAGAACAAUAUUAAAGGUAAGAUAACAGUGAGUGAUAAUAUGGGAAUAGAGAAUAGAGCAAUUCUAGUAUAUGGGCGAUGGUAGCAGAAUAGAGAGAAUAACUAUGGUUUCUCUACUUCAAAGGGGUAUGUCUAUGUCUGGGAUGAACCACGUGAUAAGAGUACACCACAAAGGAUGCUUAUCCUUAGGCCGAUAAACCCUACCCGUCCUGCUAACGAGAGGUGGACUACAGAGGACCAACGUAACUGUCACCUACGCGGCCGACCACACGAUCCAGCAAGACAGGGGAUAUCCACAAGUAAUCUAGGUCUAAGCACCACGCUUACACCUAUACUACAACUCUCACCUAAAGCGUCCUAUAGAUUAAAGUACUCAAAAGAGUUGUGAACCAGAACAUACAUAAUUAGUAAUUGCAUAAUGAAUUAGAAGUAGAUUACUAGAGUCAUCCCAUGAGCAAGCUUGAUUAGAGCUUGAUCAUGAUGAAGUACAACCGGAGGAAGAACCGACAGGCCGGCCUCUCCUCUAAUCCUCCUUCGCUCUCCAUCUUGCUACUAUCUAGAUCUACUCUAGUUUAGAGAAGAGAGCUCUCAUCUCUAAACCCUAGCUUUUGCUCUGUCUAUGAAUAAUGAAUAAUGAUCAAGGGGUGCCUCCUCUAGGGGCCAGGGGGUCUGGUUAUAUAGUCCCCUCAAGUGAACCUGGGUCGUCGGAUCAAACCGACAUUGAUUGAACGAUUAUUCUUGAUCCUUUAGGUUGGUGGAGAUCUCUCGAGAGAAAGAGUCCUGAUUGGGCUCCAUGUCAGGGCGGGCGCCCAGGGCAGGAGGGCGGGCGCCCUGCCUCUGGCCCCGUUCGGCCUCCGCUUCCUUCCCGUGGCUUCUGGAGUCUUCUGGAUGUAAGAUAAUUGCGCGGCACGUUAAUAUCUCUAUGUAAUCCCGACGUGUGGGCCUAUCUUCCGUAUUUCCUGAUAACCCCCUGCAGAAAUAGACAAACACCAAAACUUGUGGAAUUCUGUCAGAUAAAACCCUAAGUUUAGAUGUUGGUUGUAUUUGGAUCCUUUUCUUUGUUUAUUUGAUGAUUAUAUUUGGUACUUAAGGACCGUCAACAACUCUCCCAAGCUUACCUCUUGCUCGUCCCUCAGCCAGGAUGGACUCAAGAGUUUCUGUAGUGGUUUUAUGCCUUAAAGGUACACAUGCAUUUAAACAAGAUCUCAUCUCUAGGUUAGGGUAAACUGUUAAGAUUUAAAACAUACUCAUAUUACCUUUCGCAACGGGGCUUGCAACCGUCACUUGUGUCUUGAGCAGUUAAAAGAUAGAACGGUCAAGUCAAGCACCAUGUCUCUUGUUCUUUGAUCAACUAUAGUUCUGGAGUUUUUGUAGAUUUUCAAAUAAAACUCAGAGAUUCCUUGUAUGACUCUCUCUAGUCUCUCUUUUGUGGUAUUUCUGGAUCCUUACCAAGGCAGUGAUGAUAUCUGCCUUCUCUCAAAGUAUGUGGUAUUUUUGGUAUGAGGCAUAGUGAUGUUGCCUUCUCUCUCACCCUACUCUAAUAAGGUUUUGAUAUAUGGAGCUCAUAGGUGGGAGAUAAAGUAUACAUACUUACAAGACAUUUAUUGUAUAGUCAAACCAUGGAUCCAAAGAAACAAAUCAAUAAGCCAAAUCAAGAUGGUGCAUGUGUGGUGAAUGAAUGGUCUAUGGUGAUGAUGGUGAUAACAAUGGUGAAAGUCUAAUUCUACUUUUGCUCUUUUGAGGGGAUACAUACCUUCCUUGCUUUUUGAAACUUUAUGAGGAGAAUGAGAUGCUCUUAUUUUUCUUUCCUCUCAGGUGGGUAUCUUGUACCCCUAAUUCUACUGUCGGACACUUGUCCAUUUUUACCUCUCGUCUCACAUUUUCUUUCUUUCGAGGUUCCGCGCACUUACCCCUUUUUAUUUCCACGUUUAUUUUUUUUCUUCUUUUCUUCUCUUUUCUUCUUUUUUUUCUUUUUUUUCUUUUUAGAGCACUCAUCUCUUGAGAUAAUAUAGCAAGUGGUAGUAGCAAGAUAACUUGAGCAUUUAUUUCACAAAGGAAAACAGAAAUAGUUUUGGCUAUUCUCUCCCGGAUUAGGAGUAGAAUAUUUUUGGGUGGUUCUGGAGAUGGACAUGGAUGGAUAUAUGUGGAUGGUACUUCCGGAGUAGAAGUAGCAUAUAUGAGUGAACGUGCAAGUGAAUCUUGAUUUAACCACAUGACAAGCUCCUAAGGGUCUACACAGCUUGACCACACUCAAUGCUCAUAAGCAGUAAAUAGUAAAUGUGUGGCUCAAAGUCUAGCAAGCACGUAUAUAUGGCCGUGGUAGGAAUUUAAACUUUCAUCAUACCGGAACUCAUCAUGCAAUAUUUUAAAGAUUUUUUAAAGAUAAAAUUCUCCAGAAUUCUAGCAUCUCUAGGAACAGAUAAACAACAGCUCAACCUUUCCAUAUCAUAUCCGUUAACAACUUAGAUUUUAGAUCAAGGUUUCAUCCCACAAGUUUAGAUCUAGAGCAAGCUUUAAAUUAUAACAGUUAUGUCUAAACUUGAGAGAGAACUUCAAAUUUGCAAAUUAGGUAGAGCAACUAUUCAUCAUAUCCAUGCUAGAGUUUUAUUAUUAAGAUUCAGAUUAGCAUAGCCACUUUAUUUAUUUAUUAAACACACUUAGCAAAAGAUAUAUAUAUAAGCACAAAAUCUUUAUUUGGUUUUUCAUAGUUUAUGUAUUUUAAUAUUCUAAUAUAAUAUAAGUAUAAAGAUAGGUAGAAGUACUUAGCGAGAUAAAUGGGGGUGCUCUCCCCCAAGCUGAAUUUUGACGUAAUUUCUCUUGAUGUAGCUAGCAGGUGGCAGAGGUGUAUUUGAAAGUCAGCAGCAUUCAGACAGCGAUUAGAAUGUCCUCCGUCUGCUCGUCUUCUUGAUUCUUAAAUUCUGUGGAGCUCAAAUAGACAACAAAGCUUGUGGAACUAAUUAAGUGUUAGCAUAAAUAUCUAGCCUUCAUCAUGUUGAGCUUCCUCAAUAAAUAUUACUCCCUAUUUUUAUAUUUUUAUUUUAUAAAGCAGAAAAGAAAUAUUUAUUUUAUUUGUAUGCCACCACAGUGAAGGUACUUAUGGGUUUUAUGCCACUCGUAUACUCACAUGGGGCUUAGUAUUUUUUAACAUUUUUAUUUUAUUUUCUAGAUAGCAUGAUUAACUUAUAAUCUAUUUAAGGAAGUAAAUAAUUAAAGGGAAAAGGGAAUGCAGAAAGCAUAAAUAUGGAUAACUACUGAUCUUACCUUUCGGCGAGGGUUCAAUGUUUUAAGUCUUCUUAACAAGACUUCUCACCGUGUUCAUUCUUCAGGUGCGUCAUUUGAUUCAGGUGCUUUACUUGGUAGAGUCUGAGAGUUAUAAAACUCCUCCGUGUUUUGCUCGAAGUGUACCUGCUCAUAGAGACAAGGCAGAGAUCAAGUGCAUGGGUCCUGUUGGUGGAAAACACCAACAGAACCUAAAGUGUAUUUGUUCUUCUCUAACCCUAAGCAUAGUGAGCAAGACAAAGUUGAUGGAUGAAAAGUUCAUGAGUGUAGCACUUAUAACAUUUGUCAGAUCAGAUCACUCAAACUUAUGGAAAGAUAAUCUAUCUAUGUAUAUGUCUUUUUCUUUAUAUCUCUCAAAGAUUGAAUGUGUAACAUUUUAGCUCAUAUGAUUAGGAGUGUGGGAUCAUGGAGGUAGUACUAAGAACAAGGAUUAAAUGACUAAACAUGUUGAAUCAGUUGGGUUGGUUAAUCUGGAGUUGUAAAUCAUACAUGUUUGUCUCUUUUAUUUAUAUGAACGCUAGAACCAUGGAGAAGCUUAUAAAAGUGAUAGUCAAGUACCUUAAGAUGUUACCUUGCUUGAAGAGUGAUGGUACAAUAUCACCUUGUGGAAGCUUUCCUUUCUUAGCGGUUGUGCAUCGUGUUUGUGGCACCCUCCAUGGAUCAUCUCUCUAUGAUGAAUGAGCUAUGUCCUUCUUGUGCAAAUUGUUAAACUUCAUGUGUCACUCUCUUCAUCUCUGAUGUGAGUUUAUCUCAGGACUUCCCAAAUCGAUAUUGAAAGUUUUUCUGCAGGGGUUAGUCCGACAAAAAUAUACCAAUGUCUACACAAGCAGUUUUUAGUUCAAUAACCGAACUAGACUCCAUGUCUAAUCAGAUUAAGGAAGGCUGUUUAACCUAAGCACCAUGCUUAAUUUAAAAGCCAAUAGAAGUAUGUGCAGUACUUCCAAACUAACACUUACUAGUAAAUAGACAAAGGUAGCAUGACAGCAUUUAUAGAGAUCUACUCAAGUGGAGAUGAAGUAGUGUGAUUAGUAUUUAACAAAUUGAGCAUGUCUUAAAGGUAGGGACAACCAACAUAGCUACAUGGCAAAGGAUGUUUUUAUGUAAAGUACUCCCCCAAGCUUGAAUUUUGCAGAAUUCAAGUUUGGAUGAAUUUAAUUCAAUGUUGUAUGAUGAUUGGUUGGACAUACCUUGUGCUUGCUUGUCAUUCAUCUGAUCUUCUUGUUCCAAUCUUGGAAAGGUUAGUGACAAGAAUACCUGAAGGAAUAUUUUUACAAUUAUCCUUAUAUGCUCAAUACACAAGGUAAUGUUGCAAAUAAUUAAAAACUCAUGUUAUGAUCUGAUCAGUGCUUAUUUUAGGACACCAAGCUUGUCCUUGGGAAACCAUCAAUUUAUGUCGGCGAAGUGGUUUCCCUUCCAACGCUGACCUAAAUCAAGAUCAACUCAACGAGAUCUGCAAUAUUUAUUAUAGACAUAUGCAUCGACAACCGCCCUUUUAAAGUUUUUAUAAAUAGAAAGGAAGAGGGGGUUGGAGAUCUCAAAUGUGGUGAUGUUGGAGAGACCAAUAGAUUGGGAAGAUGUUGCAUAUGAGCAUGGAGUAAACUAAGUGGCUAUGAAAUAAAUUCUAUGCUCAUUAAUAUUAUCUUCGUCUCCAAUCUGAAUGUUCAGAGUUUCUCUUCGAUUGGUCUCACUUAUGUCCUCUUCUAUAGUUGGAUGAAUCCCAUCUUCAAAGGGAGUCAAGAACUCACCAUUUGAAAUUGAACCAAAGUCAGAAUUCAUUAAGGCUUCUUCCUUAUCCAUCCAUUCUACACAUUCUAGCCAUUUAGAACUUGUGAUCAGGAAAGGGGAGGUGUUAGAAUUUUCAAUAUGGCUUAGCUCUCCUUUACUUGAUGUGUCAUCCUCGACUUCUUCAUAACAGGAACUAGGACAUUCUCUAAGAGAACCAUUAUUGCGAGGAUUUGAAUUAUCCCUGCUUGAAGGUCUCUUAUAGAACCAGAAGUCUAAACCAUCAGCAUCUGAAAGAUUUAAGGUCGGAAUUCCUUCCUCCCUUGGAGAAUUUUGGGGUAUUGAUGGUUUAGGAUCGAUAGCUAAAGUUUGGAAUUGAAGUGGUUGUGAUCUGUCUAUCAAAACUUCUUCUUCUUAUCUAGGAACUGGUUCUGUCUCUUUCUCAGGGAUAUAAAAGCUAGGAGACUUUCCACUUAAUAAAUCAAUCAAAUUCCAAGCUUCACUAGCAGGUAGGUGAUAGAAGGAUCCUCUAGAGGAUGUAUUCAAGGUUUGCUUAUUUUCCCCACUAAGGCCCUCAAAAAAGUGAAUUAGAAGAACUUCUUCUGGAAUAGAAAGCUUUGGGCCAGUGAGAGUAAGGUUAAUAAAGCGGUCCCACGAUUUGCUAAGAGAUUCUUCUUCCAGUUGUCUAAAAGAAAUAAUCUCACGCGAAAGUUCUGCCACUUUAGAGAUUGGAAAAUAUUUUAAAAGAGAACGGAAAGAGCUUCCAUUUAAUGGUCUCAUCGGACAUGCCUUCUAUGCGAAGGAGGUCACAGACUCGAUAAAACUCUCUUAGGUGUGUGUAUGGGUUUUCCUCACCUUCUCCUGAGAAAGGUUGGUUUUGAACAAAUUCUAUGUAUUCGGGGUCUAUCUCAAAACUAGAUGCUAUGAUAGGCUUUGAAGAUUUUGGUGGAUCGAGAUGUGUGCCAGUAGGUCUAUGAAAUUCAUAGAUAGACAUGUUUGAAUUCAUGGUAGACCAAAGAUCAAGGAUUAGAUAAGAAGAAAGAUUAGCAGAGAUGAGGCAAAGGAUAAAAGGAAAAUAUUUUUUUUUAUUUUUUUUAGAAAAUGAUUAAGCUAGUUCGUAGUCAACUCAGCAACCGUUUCCCCGGCAACGGGGCCAAAAAUGCUUGUUGACACUUGCUAACACCACUUGAAUACUAGGUUGUCAUCCCCAGCAUGGCACUAGAGUGUACUAUGGUAUUUAUACGCACACAGAUAAUCCGCAAGCGCACAGAUACCGUUAUAGCUUUUACCCGGUUAAAGGUUUUAUCGUAUCCACAGGGAAACGGGAGAACUCAUCUACGCUCUAACUUAACCAAGAUAAGUAAAUAGGUGUAAAUAGGAAAGAUGGUAGAAUCGAAUAAGAACAAUAUUAAAGGUAAGAUAACAGUGAGUGAUAAUAUGGGAAUAGAGAAUACAGCAAUUCUAGUAUAUGGGCGAUGGUAGCAGAAUAGAGAGAAUAACUAUGGUUUCUCUACUUCAAAGGGGUAUGUCUAUGUCUAGGACGAACCACGUGAUAAGAGUACACCACAAAGGAUGCUUAUCCUUAGGCCGAUAAACCCUACCCGUCCUGCUAACGAGAGGUGGACUACAGAGGACCAACGUAACUAUCACCUACGCGGCCUACCACACGAUCCAGCUAGACAGGGGAUAUCCACAAGUAAUCUAGGUCUAAGCACCACGCUUACACCUAUACUACAACUCUCACCUAUAGCGUCCUAUAGAUUAAAGUACUCAAAAGAGUUGUGAACCAGAACAUACAUACUUAGUAAUUGCAUAAUGAAUUAGAAGUAGAUUACUAGAGUCAUCCCAUGAGCAAGCUUGAUUAGAGCUUGAUCAUGACGAAGUACAACUAGAGGAAGAACCGACAGGCCGACCUCUCCUGUAAUCCUCCUUCGCUCUCCAUCUUGCUACUAUCUAGAUAUACUCUAGUUUAGAGAAGAGAGGAAAGCUCUCAUCUCUAAACCCUAGCUUUUGCUCUGUCUAUGAAUAAUAAAUAAUGAUCAAGGGGUGCCUCCUCCAGGGGCUAGGGGGUCUAGUUAUAUAGUCCCCUCAUGUGAACCUGGGCCGUCGGAUCAAACCGACAUUGAUUGAACGGUUAUUCUUGAUCCUUUAGGUCGGUGGAGAUCUUCCGAGAGAAAGAGUCCUGAUUGGGCUCCAUGUCAGGGCGGGCGCCCAGGGCAGGAGGGCGGGCGCCCUGCCUCUGGCCCCGUUCGGCCUCCGCUUCCUUCCCGUGGCUUCUGAAGUCUUCUAGAUGUAAGAUAAUUGCGCGGAAUGUUAAUAUCUCUAUGUAAUCCCGACGUGUGGGCCUUUCUUCCGUAUUUCCUGAUAACCCCCUGCAGAAAUAGACAAACACCAAAACUUGUGGAAUUCUGUCAGAUAAAACCCUAAGUUUAGAUGUUGGUUGUAUUUGGAUCCUUUUCUUUGUUUAUUUGAUGAUUAUAUUUGGUACUUAAGGACCGUCAACAAGGGGUGCACAUGGCGUAGGCAAGCGCCACCACACCGUUUGCUCACCCUGGCUCAGCCGGGAUGGAAGUAGGCGCCCCCUGAAGGAGCCACGCAGGGGUUGGAGGACCGUAAGCUGGCAACUCCUCCUCCUCGGCCUCGGGCCCUUGCGGCGGUGACGAUUCCGGCUGGCGCGGGCUAUGCAGUGGCGGUUCGAGCUGCUCUUCCGUGGCAGUUCGAGCUGCUCUUCCAACUGUUGGCUCCGUUGCUGCUGCUGUCGUUGGAGUUCCAGCAGCUCCUGCUGCCGACACUGCUCCAACUCAUCUUCGAGUGGCCCUCCCCGCCGUAGCUGUGGCUGCUCCUCCAGCGGCUGUUGCCGUGGCUCCUGCUCGCGAUCUUCUUCUUGCUUCUUCCUCCUCUCCUCGACGGAGUGGAGCCCGAUGGGCCAAGGCGUCCUAACUUUGGCCUCGACCUCUUCAUCCACGGUGCGGACAUCCUUCGAGAGCUGAUCACCGCCAGAUCCAUCACUAAUGGUAAUGGGAUCCCCAACGCCUCCAGACUGGGGAGGCUCAGGGGCUCCCUCUUGCUCUUGAGGGUGAGGCGUCUCGACCCGCCUCGGUGACGGCGGGGCGGUCUCUCCCACCGAUGGACGAUGCGGGGUACCCUCGACGCCUAUCGAUGGUCGAGGAUCGGACAAACCUAUGUGCAUUCAAAAACAACACGUCAGCCGCUAAGAAGCUCGAUGCAAGAAUCACACAACUCCAACACUAUUGAAAGGAGAAUGAACCGCUCACCCGAAUCUUUGGGAACCGCCCCCACCUUUAGCUUCUUGGCCAUCGAGGGCUGGGCCUGUUCCAGCGGCCGCUUCAACCUGAGGAAGAGGGGAAUAACAUAAGAAAGACCGUAGCACAAGAAUGCACAAAGACAUCAGAAAACAAGAACCACAACGUUAAAAUCUUACCCCACCGGAAGAGCGACCCGCCUGCCGGCACCUCGACUAGCUUGUCUCGAGCCGCCCCGCGUCGAGACCCCAGGCCUUUCGUGGGCAGGUGUGGGCUUCGGCUCGACGUUUCCCGACCGACGAGCGUCAGGGCCAGAGGCGCCACGACCUACUUCCCCCUGACUUGAGGCCGCGGCGCGGCCAUGGGUCAGUGGCCCCAUCACCAUAGUCUUGACCCGGCGGCCCGCCCGAGGCGUGGGAGGAGGAUGGGGGCGAGAAACGGCCCAACCUAGCGCAGGCGGCGGAGGGGUGUCGGCGCGAGAACGGCUCUGUGAGGACUCCCUCUGAUGGCCGUCGCGGGGUCUGCCCGACGCCCUCUUAGGGGCUCCCGUCCGAGGAACGUCAACGUCGACCUGCAGAGGGCCCUUGAGGAUCUUGUCAAGAUGAGCCGCCAUCCCCUCAGAAUCGUCGCUGCCAUCGCCGCCCUCGUUGCCGUCAUCCUCGUCGGGAGAGUCCUCCUCGGGUUCCCCCCUCUGCCUGGAUUUUGCACGACGUGUCUGGUGACGGUCCUUAAGUAUCAAAUUUAAUUAUCAAAUAAACAAAGAAAAGGAUCCAAAUGAAGUCAACAUCUAGACUUAGGGUUUUUUCUGACAGAAUUCCACGAGUUUUGGUGUUUGUCUAUUUCUGCAGGGGCUUAUCAGGAAAUACGGAAGAAAGGCCCACACGUCGGGAUUACAUAGAGAUAUUGACGUGCCGCGCAAUUAUCUUACAUCUAGAAGACUCCAGAAGCCACGGGAAGCAAGCGGAGACCGAACGGGGCCAGAGGCAGGGCGCCCGCCCUCCUGCCCUCGGCGCCCGCCCACCUCUGGAGGCCAAUCAGGACUCUGUUUCUCGGGAGAUCUCCACCGACCUAAAGGAUCAAGGAUAACCAUUCAAUCUAUGUCGGUUUGAUCUGAUGGCCCGGGUUCACUUGAAGGGACUAUAUAACCAGACCCCCUGGCCCCUGGAGGAGGCACCCUUUGAUCAUUAUUCAUUAUUCAUAGACAGAGCAAAAGCUAGGGUUUAGAGAUGAGAGCUCUCCUCUCUUCUCUAAACUAGAGUAGAUCUAGAUAGUAGCAAGAUGGAGAGCGAAGGAGGAUUAGAGGAGAGGCCGGCCUGUCGGUUCUUCCUCCGGUUGUACUUCGUCAUGAUCAAGCUCUAAUCAAGCUUGCUCAUGGGAUGACUCUGGUAAUCUACUUCUAAUUCAUUAUGCAAUUACUAAUUAUGUAUGUUCUGGUUCACAACUCUUUUGAGUAUUCUAAUCUAUAGGACGCUAUAGGUGAGAGUUGUAGUAUAGGUGUAAGCGAGGUGCUUAGAUCUAGAUUACUUGUGGAUAUCCCCUGUCUAGCUAGAUCGUGUGGUAGGCCACGUAGGUGACAGUUACGUUGGUCCUCUGUAGUCCAUCUCUCGUUAGCAGGACGGGUAGGGUUUAUCGGCCUAAGGAUAAGCAUCCUUUGUGGUGUACUCUUAUCACAUGGUUCGUCCCAGACAUAGACAUACUCCUUUGAAGUAGAGAAACCAUAGUUAUCCUCUCUAUGCUGCUACCAUCGCCCAUAUACUAGAAUUGCUCUAUUCUCUAUUCCCAUAUUAUCACCCACUGUUAUCUUACCUUUAAUAUUGUUCUUAUUCGAUUCUACCAUCUUUCCUAUUUACACCUAUUUACUUAUCUUGGUUAAGUUAGAGCGUAGAUCAGUUCUCCCGUUUCCCUGUGGAUACGAUAAAACCUUUAACCGGGUAAAAGCUUCAACAGUAUCCGUGCGCUUGCGGAUUAUCUGUGUGCGUAUAAAUACCAUAGUACACUCUAGUGCCAUGCUGGGGAUGACAACCUAGUAUUCAAGUGGUGUUAGCAAGUGUCAACAGCGUCUCCAGCGCUUGUUGCUCAAGAUUUUUCUUCUUUUCCUUCUUCUUUUCUAAGUCCUUUGUGGACUUCUGCAUCUCCACGGACUCGCGCCUCCUGUCACGAUCGAUGUCGUCCUGCUUUACCGGAGGCCUCGACGAUCGAGCAUCAAUCGAUCCCUGUGUGGGUGGGAAUAAGUCUAAAGAAGGGUCAAAAAAUCGGGAAUUGAAGUCAUAGCAAUAAGAAUGACUUACCAGGUCAAUCGACCCCUCAUUGGGCCUCAUGGGGAAGCCGUUGACGCGCUUAGGCUGAAAAUCGCCUGCGACGGCCGCCCUGACUCUGGCGGCGACCUCGUCGUCCGCGGGCUCCUCGUUGUACAUCCGGCACGCCUCGAGGUCACGAGAUGAAACGCCAGGGCCCAUUUCAUCCAUCCUUAGCUGCCGAGAUAUCAAUGGGAGUACCCAUUUCGCCUUCCUCAUGAAGUUUCUUCAGAGCGUCGAGGAUGGGAUGGAGCCGCGACUGGAGGGUCUUGACGACGCCAUAGUUCUAGUGGUCCGAACGCUCCGAGAUCAAGCGCCCGAUGUAGUCGGGGAAGAGGUCGUCGUCGUUCCACAGGUAGAACCACUGGGAGUCCCACUCGGCGUGGUUCGACGUCAGCCCCACCGGGAUGUACUCUCGAGGCUCCUCCACCUUGCCGGUCUUCAGCACCAGGUUGAGGCAGCCGGCCCGCACCGGCUUCCUCACCCCUGUAGCCCCAUCGGGGGCUUUGAAGAGCUCGCCCUGGUACAGGUGGAGCCUUAGGUCCCAGUGCGGCAUCAUCCCAAGGUAGCCCUCACACACCGUAGCAAAAAUCGCCGCGACGGUGAUCGCGUUCGGCGAAAAAUGAUGGAGCUCCACGCUGUAGUGGUGGCAGAGCGCCCGCAUAAAGCGGCUCGGAGGGGAACCUAGACCAUGGCGGUGAAACUUGGCGAAUGAGACCACGUACCCCUUGGGAGGUCUCAGCUCCCAGUGGUCCGCGGCCGGUGCGAUCCACUCCGGCCGCGACGAGGAAACGCGAGGGCGUAGGAGCCCCUACUUCUCAAGCUCCAACAGCCGGCGCUCCGUCAUCGACGACGGGCGCGAGUCAUCGACGGCAAUGAGUCUCACCGGCAUCUUGAGGAGGAAGGAAAGUGGCUCCGCUACCGUGUGCUCGAGGAUGCGCGCGCACGUGGAGAUGGCAAGGAGGCAGAGGCAAGAACAAAUGCGGAAGGCGGAAGGAAUAAUGGCUGGAAGACCCAACGAUAUUUAUAGAUGGCUAACCUCCAACGGACAGAUCCGGCGGAUGCGGUAACUUCCCUAGUAAAUGCGCCGCCUAACGGUCCUUGUUUCUCUCACUAACAGGGCAUUACGAAUUCCACGACGGUGCGGUGCCGCAACGGCUCCCACCUGAAAAGGCGCGCCCAACGGGCGAAAAGGUGAACCGCGUGACCUUUCCUUCCCCUGUAAGCUAAGGUACGCACCUGUUGCGAUGAAAAUCUCGAGAGAUCGAAGGCUGGCCCACCGAACGAGUCCGACAGCCGAUCUCGAGUACCAGAGUCAAGGAUGCCCAGCGUGUGGUCGAAUAACGAGGCCCGCCUCGAGAACUCACUGGGAUGUCCAAGGCGAAGAUGAGACGGUCGAGAGGAAUCCUCAUGAAGGGAGGCAGCGAGCCGCUGGACUCUAUCGAAUGAGACCAGUAACCCGGACCAUGUUGACCCCGCUUUAUGAGAACGCCUCCAGGCUGCAGCUGACCUCCUCGAACGGGGCACAGGUUCUCACUUGGAUUACCCGACAGGAGCUCGACCUGGGGUAGGUGACGCUCGGUGCACCGGGGGUACGUCACGACCCUGAUGCGGAACCAGCCGAUCGAGGCCCAAAGCCCCCCUUCCAUAACGGGCAACUUUCGGAGAAGGGGGAAUCGAGAGCGUUUCCAUCAGAAAGGGCAACAUAACCCUCGAAGGAGUCAAUAACUCCUCCAAGGGCUCGGGGGCUACCCCCACGGGGUUGCUCGCGCGACCCCACAGAAACUCGACCGACGAAAGAGCUUCUACUCGAGCCCAAGCGCUCAAAUAGAGACUCGGAGGCUACUGUCGAGGGUAUCAGUAAGGGGUACCCUAACCAACGCAUAUAACGAGAGGACCUGUACGUAAAUUGAGGCCCCUCACUCGACGCCCUCCGAUCGUACGUGCGAUUGCCAAGACGAGACGACGACCAUAGCCUCGAACAUGGAGAGAGCGUUGUGCGAAUCGACCAAGGCUCGACCGAGCAACGACCGUCGAAUACGGAAACUGGCUCGUACAAAUCGACAGGCCUCGAGCGCAAGGAUGCCGUCUGUUGAUAUUUGGUAACACCAUCAGGAAAUGAUCCGCAAGUGCAUGGAUAUCGGUGAGCACUUCACCCGGGAGGUUAUCUAGAGUAUCGUAUUUAUAUUUUUACCACUGGGAGAAAGCGUGCAUCUGACUAACCAAAUCUAUUGCUACUACCCUUUAGGCUACAAAGAAUGUUUCUCGAUGUGAGUGAUGUAUAGAGAAGAUUGCAACCGUAGUCUCGUUCUAACCUUGGUAAGGAUGGUCUACUGUUCUAUUGGGGAAGCUUACGGAAUCUAGACACCACAAAGGAUGUUCGACCCGCACCUAUAACCCUACCCAUCCUGCUAGCGAGAUGUGGGAUGCAAAGGUAACUUAGAAAUGUCAUGCUCCUCGCUACUACCACGGUCCAGCUAGUCAAGGGAUAUCUAUGAGUACCCUAGCCGAAACACCACGUUUACGCUAGCAAUGAUUACUCUAAACUCAACCAGAAGAGAUUAAAGUAAACUUAUAAACCAAAGAACAAUAAAACAAGAACUUACUAGAAUAAGAAGUCGAAUUACUGAAGAAUCCUAGGAGCAAGCCUCGGGUUAGAAGACUUGAUCCCGUAGGUACAACCUCAGAGUAGACACCGACAGGCCAGGCUUCCUCCGAUCUACACCUCCACUCUAUCUCUCUCAAUCUAGUAGAAACUAGAAGAUCUAAUUCUACUCACAUUGGAUGCUAAGCCCUAAGUCUAUUUAGAGGAGAGGUAUUCCUUCGAGGGCUCCUCUCAACUCUAUGAUGAACUUGUUCUCCUCCAGGAGCCAGGGGGUCUGCUUAUAUAGUCCCUUCAAGUGAAUCUGGGCUGUCGGAUCAAACCGACAUUGAUUGAACAGUUAUCCUUGAUCCUUAAGGUCGGUGGAGCGUAAUCCCCGAAGAGAGUCCUGAUUGGACUCUGGGAUAGGGCAGGCGCCCUAGGGGGAGGGCGGGCGCCCUGCCCCCGGGCCCGUUCACCUUCCCGUUCAUUCCCGUGGCUUCUGGAGUCUUCUAGGUGAUAGAAAAUUGCGCGGCACGUUAAUAUCUCUAUGUAAACCUGACGUGUGGGCCUUUCUUCCGUAUUUCCUGAUAACCCCUUGCAGAAAUAGACAAACACCAAAACUCGUGGAAUUCUGUCGGAUAAAACCCUAUGUCUGGGUGUUUGUUACAUUUGGAUCCUUUUCUUUAUUUAUUUGAUGAUUAUAUUUGGUACUUAAGGACCAUCGACAACUCCCCCAAGCUUACCUCUUGCUCGUCCCUGAGCAAGCAUGAACUCAAGAGUUUCUGCAGUGGUUUCAUGCCUCAAAAGUAAGAUCUCAUCUCUGAGUUAGAGUAAACUGUUAAGACUUAAAACUUACUCAUUUUACCUUUCACCAUGGGGCCUGUAACCGUCACUUGUGUCUUGAGCAGCUAAAAGAUAGAACGGUCAAGUCAAGCGCCAUGUCUCUUAUUCUUUAUCAGCUAUAGCUCUGGAGUUUUUGCAGAUUUUCAAAUAAAACUCAGAGAUUCCUUGUAUGACUCUCUCUAGUCUCUCUUUUGUGUUAUUUCUGGAUCCUUUCCAAGGCAGUAAUGGUAUAUGCCUUCUCUCAAAGUAUGUGGUAUUUUUGGUAUGAGGCAUAGUGAUAUUGCCUUCUCUCUCACCCUACUCUAAUAAGGUUUUGAUAUCUAGAGCUCAAAGGUGGGAGACAGCUAAUACAUACUUACAAGACAUUUAUUGCAUAGUCAAACCAUGGAUCCAGAGAAACAAGUCAAUAAGUCAAAUCAAGAUGUGCAUGUGUGGCGAAUGAAUGGUGUAUGGUGAUGAUGGUGAUAACAAUGGUGAAAGUCUAAUUCUACUUUUGCUCUUUUAAAGGGAUACAUACCUUUCGAGAUACAUACCUUUCUUGCUCAUUGAAGUUUUUUGAGGAGAAUGAGAUGCUCUACAUUUUCUUUUUCUUCUUUUCUCUCAGGUGGGUAUCAUGUACCCCUAAUUCUACUGUCGGACACUUGUCCAUUUUUACCUCUCGUCUCACUUUUCCUUUUCUUCAAAGUUCCGGGCACUUGACCAUUUUUAUUUCCUCGUAUUUUUCCUUUUCUAUUUUUUAGAGAGCACUCAUCUCCUGAAAUAAUGUAGCAAGUGGUAGUAACCAAAAUAACUGGAGCAUUUAUUUCACAUGGAAUAAAAGGGAUAGGAAAAUAUUUUUGGCUAUUCUCUUCCGGAUUAGGAGUAGAAUAAUUUUAGGUGAGUCUGGAGAUGGAAAUGAGUGGAUAUAUGUGGAUGCGUACUUCCGGAGUAGAAGCAGCAUGUGUGAGUGAACGUGCAAGUGAAUCUUGAUUUUAACCGCAUGACAAGCUCCUAAGGGUCUACGCAGCUUGACCACACUCAAUGCUCAUAAGCAGUAAAAAGUAAAUGUGUGGCUCAAAGUCUAGCAAGCAUGUAUAUAUAUGGCUGUGGUAGGAAUUAAACUCUCAUCAUAUAGGAACUCAUCAUGUGUUAUUUUAAAGAUUUUCAAAGAUAAAAUUCUCUAGAAUUCUAGCAUCUCUAGGAACAGAUAAACAACAACUCAACCUUCCCAUAUCAUAUCCGUUAAUGACUUAGACUUUAGAUCAAGUACUCUUCCCACAAGUUCAAGUUUAGAGCAGGUUUAAAUUAUAACAGUUAUGCCUAAACAUGAGAGAGAUUUCAAUUUUAAGAACUAGUCAUGGCAGAGCAACUAUUCAUCAUUUCCAUGUGAGAGCUUAUCAUAAGGGUUCAUUGCAAACUUUAUUUAUUUAUUUAUUUAGCAAAUAAAGCAAAGAUAAAAGCACAAAAUCUUUAUUUGGGUUUUUUAUGAUUAUGCAUCUUUUUAUUAUUUGUGUAAAGUAUAAACGCGAGUAGAAACACUUAGUUGGAUAAAUAGGGGUGCUCUCCCCGAAGCUGGAUUUUGACGUAAUUUCUUCUGAUGUAGCUAGCAAGUGACGGAGGUGUAUUUGAAUGUUGGCAGCACCCUGACAGCGAUUAGGAUGUCCUCUGUCUGCUAGCCUUCUUUGAUCCUUGGAUUCUGUGGAGCUCAAAUAGACAACAAAGCUUUGUGGAACUGGUUAAGUGUUAGCAUAAAUAUCUAGCCUUUAUCGAGCCUCCUCAAUAAAUGUUAUUUAUUUAGCAGGAUCAUGCACUUAUUAUUUUUAUAUUUUUAUUGUAAGAUGAAAACAUAUUUAUUUUAUGCCACCACAGUGAAUGUACCUAUGGGUUUUAUGCCAUGAGCAUACUCACAUGGGCUUACUAUUUUUAACAUUUUUAUUUUCUUUUCGAGAUGAUAUUGUUGACGAUCCUUAAGUAUCAAAUUUAAUUAUCAAAUAAACAAAGAAAAGGAUCCAAAUGAAAUCAACAUCUAGACUUAGGGUUUUAUCUGACAGAAUUCCAUGAGUUUUGGUGUUUGUCUAUUUUUGCAGGGGGUUAUGAGGAAAUACGGAAGAAAGGCCCACAUGUCGGGAUUACAUAGAGAUAUCAACGUACCGCGCAAUUAUUUUACAUCUAGAAGACUCCAGAAGCCACGGGAAGGAAGCGGAGGCCGAACAGAGCCAGGACCUGGGCGCCCGCCCAAGUCCUUAGGGCGCCCACCCUGCUACAGUGGCCAAUCACGUUCAACCUCGCAGAUUAUGCUCCACCAACCUAAAGGAUCAAGAAUAACCGUUAAAUCAAUGUCGGUUUGAUCUGACGGCCCAGGUUCACUUGAGGGGACUAUAUAACCAGAGCCCCUAGCCCCUGGAGGAGGCAACCCCUUGAUCAUUAUUCAUUAUUCAUAGACAGAGCAAAAGCUAGGGUUUAGAGAUGAGAUCUCUCCUCUCUUCUUUAAACUAGAGUAGAUCUAGAUAGUAGCAAGAUGGAGAGCGAAGGAGGAUUAGAGGAGAGGCCGGCCUGUCGGUUCUUCCUCCAGUUGUACUUCGUCAUGAUCAAGCUCUAAUCAAGCUUGCUCAUGGGAUGACUCUGGUAAUCUACUUCUAAUUCAUUAUGCAAUUACUAAUUAUGUAUGUUCUGGUUCACAACUCUUUUGUGUAUUCUAAUCUAUAGGACGCUAUAGGUGAGAGUUGUAGUAUAGGUGUAAGCAUGGUGCUUAGACCUAGAUUACUUGUGGAUAUCCCCUGUCUAGCUGGAUCGUGUGGUAGGCCGCGUAGGUGACACUUACGUUGGUCCUCUGUAGUCCACCUCUCGUUAGCAGGACGGGUAGGGUUUAUCGGCCUAAGGAUAAGCAUCCUUUGUGGUGUACUCUUAUCACGUGGUUCGUCCCAGACAUAGACAUACUCCUUCGAAGUAGAGAAACCAUAGUUAUCCUCUCUAUUCUGCUACCAUCGCCCAUAUACUAGAAUUGCUCUAUUCUUUAUUCCCAUAUUAUCACUCACUGUUAUCUCACCUUUAAUAUUGUUCUUAUUCGAUUCUACCAUCUUUCCUAUUUACACUUAUUUACUUAUCUUGGUUAAGUUAGAGCGUAGAUCAGUUCUCCCGUUUCCCUGUGGAUACGAAAAACCUUUAACCGGGUAAAAGCUUCAACGGUAUCCGUGCGCUUGCGGAUUAUCUGUGUGCGUAUAAAUACCAUAGUACACUCUAGUGCCAUGCUGGGGAUGACAACCUAGUAUUCAAGUGGUGUUAGCAAGUGUCAACAAGCAUUUUUGGCGCCGUUGCCGGGGAGACGGUUGUUGAGUUGACUACGAACUAGCUUAAUCAUUUUCUAAAAAAAAUAAUAAAAAAAUAUUUUCCUUUUAUCCUUUGCCUUAUCUCUGCUAUUCUUUCUUCUUAUCUAAUCCUUGAUCUCUAGUCUAUCAUGAAUUCAAACAUGUCUAUCUAUGAAUUCCAUAGACCUACGGGCACACAUCUCGAACCACCAAAAUCUUCAAAGCCUAUCAUAGCAUCUAGUUUUGAGAUAGACCCUGAAUACAUAGAAUUUGUUCAAAAACAACCUUUCUCAGGAGAAGGUGAGGAAAACCCAUACACACACCUAAGAGAGUUUUAUCGAGUCUGUGACCUCCUUCGCAUGGAAGGAAUGUCCGAUGAGACCCUUAAAUGGAAGCUCUUUCCGUUCUCUUUAACGGGAAAAGCUAGACAUUGGUACAAACUCAAAAUAGGGAGUGUUCAUGGAGAUUGGAAGGAGUUACAUAAUAGUUUUCUUUUAAAAUAUUUUCCAAUCUCUAAAGUGGCGGAACUUCGGCGUGAGAUUAUUUCUUUUAGACAACUAGAAGAAGAAUCUCUUAGGAAAUCAUGGGACCGCUUUAUUAACCUUACUCUCACUGGCCCAAAGCUUUCUAUUCCAGAAGAAGUUCUUCUAAUUCACUUUUUUGAGGGCCUUAGUGGGGAAAAUAAGCAAACCUUGAGUACAGCCUCUAGAGGAUCCUUCUAUCACCUACCUGCUAAUGAAGCUUGGAAUUUGAUUGAUUUAUUAAGUGGAAAGUCUCCUAGCUUUUAUAUCCCUGAGAAAGAGACAAAACCAGUUCCUAGACAAGAAGAAGAAGUUUCGAUAGCCAGAUCACAACCACUUCAAUUCCAAACUUUAGCUGUCGAUCCUAAACCAUCAAUACCCCAAAAUUCUCCAAGGGAGGAAGGAAUUCCGAUCUUAAAUCUUUCAGAUGCUGAUGGUUUAGACUUCUGGUUCCAUAAGAGACAUUCAAGCAGGGAUAAUUCAAAUCCUCGCAAUAAUGGUUCUCUUAGAGAAUGUCCUGGUUCCUGUUAUGAAGAAGUCGAGGAUGACACAUCAAGUAAAGGAGAGCUAAGCCAUAUUGAAAAUUCUAACACCUCCCCUUUCCUGAUCACAAGUUCUAAAUGGCUAGACUGUGUAGUAUGGAUGGAUAAGGAAGAAGCCUUAAUGGAUUCUGACUUUGGCUCAAUUUCAAAUGGUGAGUUCUUGACUCCCUUUGAAGGUGAGAUUCAUCCAACUAUAGAAGAGGACAUAAGUGAGACCAAUCCAGGAGAAACUCCAAACAUUCAGAUUGGAGACGAAGAUAACAUUAAUGAGCAUGGAAUUUAUUUCAUAGCCACUUUGUUUACUCCAUGCUCAUAUGCAACAUCUUCCCAAUCUAUUGGUCUCUCCAACAACACCACAUUUGAGAUCUCCAACCCCCUCUUCCUUUCUAUUUAUAAAAACUUUAAAAGGGCGGUUGUCGAUGCAUAUGUCUAUAAUAAAUAUUGCAGAUCUCGUUGAGUUGAUCUUGAUUUAGGUCAGCGUUGGAAGGGAAACCACUUCACCGACAUAAAUUGAUGGUUUCCCAAGGACAAGCUUGCUGUCCUAAAAUAAGCACUUAUCAGAUCGUAACAUGAGUUUUAAAUUAUUUGCAACAUUACCUUGUGUAUUGAGCAUAUAAGGAUAAUUGUAAAAAUAUUCCUUCGGGUAUUCUUGUCACUAACCUUUCCAAGAUUGGAACAAGAAGAUUAGAUGAAUGACAAGCAAGUACAAGGUAUGUCCAACCAAUCAUCAUGCAACACUGAAUUAAAUUCAUCCAAACUUGAAUUCUGCAAAAUUCAAGCUUGGGGGAGUACUUUACAUAAAAACAUCCUUUGCCAUGUUGCUAUGUUGGUUGUCUCUACCUUUAAGACAUGCUCAAUUUGUUAAAUACUAAUCACACUACUUCAUCUCCACUUGAGUAGAUCUCUAUAAAUGUUGUCAUGCUACCUUUGUCUAUUUACUAGUAAGUGUUAGUUUGGAAGUACUACACAUACUUCUAUUGGCUUUUAAAUUAAGCAUGGUGCUUAGGUUAAACAACCUUCCUUAAUCUGAUUAGACAUGGAGUCUAGUUCGGUUAUUGAACUAAAAACUACUUGUGUAGACAUUGGUAUAUUUUUGUCGGACUAACCCUUGCAGAAAAACUUUCAAUAUCGAUUUGGGAAGUCCUGAGAUAAACUUACAUCAGAGACGAAGAGAGUGACACAUGAAGUUUAACAAUUUGCACAAGAAGGACAUAGCUCAUUCAUCAUAGAGAGAUGAUCCAUGGAGGGUGCCACAAACACGAUGCACAACCACUAAGAAAGGAAAGCUUCUACAAGGUGAUACUACACCAUCACUCUUCAAGCAAGGUAACAUCUUAAGGUACUUGACUAUCACUUUUAUAAGCUUCUCCUUGGUUCUAGCGUUCAUAUAAAUAAAAGAGACAAACAUGUAUGAUUUACAACUCUAGAUUAACCAACCCAGCUGAUUCAACAUGUUUAGUCCUUUAACCCUUGUUCUUAAUACUACCUCCAUGAUCCCACACUCCUAAUCAUAUGAGCUAAAAUGUUACACAUUCAAUCAUUGAGAGAUGUAAAGAAAAAGACAUAUACAUAGAUAGAUUAUCUUUCCAUAAGGUUGAGCGAUCUGAUCUGACAAAUGUUAUAAGUGCUACACUAAUAAACUUUUCGUCCAUCCACUUUGUCUUGCUCACUAUGCUUAGGGUUAGUGAAGAACAAAUACACUUUAGGUUCUGUUGGUGUUUUCCACCAACAGGACCCAUGCACUUGAACUCUGCCUUGUCUCUAUGAGCAGGUACACUUUGAGCAAAACACGGAGGAGUUUUAUAACUCUCAGACUCUACCAAGUGAAGGACCUGGAUCUACGAGCACAAACACACUGAGCAGGAUACUGCCAACGCCGCACUUCGAACUGCUGGGCAAACGAAGAGGUGCAGAUGUCAAGGUCCGCACCUGAAUCAAAUGACGCACCUGAAGAAUGAAUACGGUGAGAAGUCUAGUUAAGAAGACUUAAAACAUUGAACUCUCACCGAAAGGUAAGAUCAGUAGUUAUCCAUAUUUAUCCUUUCUGCAUUCCCUUUUCCCUUUAAUUAUUUACAUUCCUUAAAUAGAUUAUUAGUUACUCAUGCUAUCUUGAAAAAAAAUAAAAAUGUUAAAAACUACUAAGCCCCAUGUUAGUAUACGAGUGGCAUAAAACCCAUAAGUACCUUCACUGUGGUGGCAUAAAAAUAAAAUAAAUAUUUCUUUUCUGCUUUAUAAAAUAAAAAUAUAAAAACAGGGAGUAAUAUUUAUUGAGGAAGCUCAAUAUGAUGAAGGCUAGAUAUUUAUGCUAACACUUAAUUAGUUCCACAAGCUUUGUUGUCUAUUUGAGCUCCACAGAAUUUAAGAAUCAAGAAGACUAGCAGACAGAGGACAUUCUAAUCGCUGUCAGAAUGCUGCUGACUUUCAAAUACACCUCUGCCACCUGCUAGCUACAUCAAGAGAAAUUACGUCAAAAUUCAGCUUGGGGGAGAGCACCCCCAUUUAUCUCGCUAAGUAUUUCUACCUAUCUUUAUACUUAUAUUAUAUUAGAAUAUUAAAAUACAUAAACUAUGAAAAACCAAAUAGAGAUUUUGUGCUUAUAUAUAUCUUUUGCUUAGUGUGUUUAAUAAAUAAAUAAAGUGGCUAUUGUGGCAGAACCUCCUAAGUGUUUGGGCCCACCGACACCUGUCAUUGUCCCAAGGACCUCUGACGGUGAUGCCGGGGAUCCUCCCACUCUAGAAGUCCGAUGAGCAUCUCAGGACGCUCAUUCCACCGUUACGUGGGGCGUAUCAAACAAGCUCGUCUUGACCACCAACAGUGGUCAAUUAACGAAAAUUUCUUCUUUUCGCCCUUACAGGAUAGCAAGUGGCCACCUUAACACCAGGAUCACUCGUUGCGAAGACAUUGUAGUAUCACAGACGACACAAGACCAAAAUAAUAUUUCAGAGUAAAACAACUGAAGUACUACAUAACUUAAUUUACAAAAGGAGCAACUUAAACUUUAGCAUAGAGAUUACAAAUUUACAGACCCUGCCCAUGGGUCACGCUCACUCUUCCUCAUCGUCAACCUCGACAACGGACACACAACAGGGUCCGAAACAAGUCGGCUCCUGAGCUUCACCUGCAACAGGGGUUAUAAAACCCUAAGUACGGGAGUACUCAACAAGACUUACCUGGCGGAAAAAGAGAAGAAAUUUGGAAUGCAGGCUUGGGGUAGACAAGGGAUGGCUGAGCAAGGAGCCAAAGUGUUUUGCUAAAAAGCUUACUAAUAGUGCAUCCUUACUUUCAAGUUUUACCCGCGAAUUCCUCUCCUUAAGAGGCCGAGGAGUUCCUCGGAGACUUCCCAAGUCUCGGAUCCUACUUCCUCGAACAGAGCACCGACCUUGGGGUUCGGUUCAACGGUCGCUCCUUCGGUCACGUGCACUAUACGCAAAAUGAUGAAUGCUCAUGAUAUGCAUAUGACAAAUAUUUAAGAAGGACCGAGUUAACUACAACGGGCCUUCUUGGUGCAAUACAGACUGAACAAUAAUUAAAGUUGUUUAUCAUCUUAGUAUCUUUACCCAAGAGGUUACAUCAGUAAACUAAGAUUUCUCUUAAUUCAUAAUUAUCCUAAAUUAACUAAUUAUUAAUCCUUUUUAUUUUAAUUAAUUCUUGACUAAGUAUUCAUGACAGUAAUUAAACAUUAAUGCCAAACAAUAAUUAAAUGUCAAAGGUCAUCAAGGUUAAUGACCUCAGGUCGUCACACAAUCCCAAAAUCACUAAAACCCUAAUUUUGAGAAUUUAACUAAUUAUUAUCUAAUUAUUCUAGAAUUAUUAUUUAAUUACUAAUCAAGGGUUUAAUAAUAUUUUAUCCAAACUUUAUCCAAAUGCCACCAAAUUUUGUGUGGAGCCAGGGAAUAAUAUUCAGAGGCAUCCCACAAAUUUUGGUGAUUUUUGGACAUAUCACUAAAUUAUUAAAAUUCAUAGAAGUUUUAUUUACUAAUUAAAAGAGACAAUUUUUAUAAACAUUCAAACUACCAGAAAAUAGCACCUAAUAUUUAUCUUAUGUUCUAUCCAUUUUAUUGAAUCUAUACAAAAAUUUCCAUUAUUUUUGAAUUAGUAUACAAUUUUCUACACAAUUCUACAAAUCAAGCAUUUUUAAACAAAAAGGAAAAAGGAAAAACACACUGCGCUAUGCGGCCGGCCCGCUUCGCUUUGGCCCAAGCCGGCCCGAGAACCUCCCGCGUCGCGCGCGGGCGCUGCUCGUCACAUGCGGCCACUGACGGGCGGGUCCCGCCCGUCAGAUUCUCCUUCCACCUCCUGUCGCGGCUCCGGUGAGCUCAAGCUCAUCGCCGGAGAGCUCCCGGCCUCUGCGGUAGGGUGGGCUAGCACCUUCGGCCUCUCGCGCAACCCCUGGGACACACGGGACAACCCCUACUCCCUCCUAACCCUCCUGCUCACGUCCACGGCGGACGGCGACACUAACGGCGCGAGCACCGGCCACUGCAAGCGGGUAGAACGCGAACCAACCAGCGCAUAAGCUUCAGGGGCUCACCGUGACUUCAACGGAGCAACGAGCAGCGAUGGAAAGGCUUGGAGCAGCUCUGGCCACGGUGAAGUACUUACGGCGGUGCUUCGGCCGGAGUUGAAGGAGAACGGCUCGGUUGCGGGCUAGGGGAGGCUAUAGCUCGCGACAAAGGGUCCAGGGAGUAGCUGAGCUCAAGGCGAAGCUCUGGAGGUGCUUUGGGGGCUCGGACAGGGAGUGGACAUGAUGAAUUUUGUGGGCGACGAAGUUCACCGGCGUCGGGCGCGAGAGAAAUAAACGGAGCACGUCGGCUGGUGCAGUGGCUUAUAUCACGAACGGAGGAGACGCCCAGCUUCCACGUCACCUGGCGACACUGGCAGGCAAGCAGGCUGUGUGCAUGCACGCAUGCGCACGGCGCUGCCCGCGCGGCGGCUGCGCUGGACAGGGGCGCCGUGAUCCCUAUCGGAUCACUGUAGCGAGCUUUAUCCAACCCAUUUUGUGGUUUUGCAAAAUCCGCCCAAAUUUUGAACUGAAGACAAAAUUCCACCAAAAUGAAAGUUGUGCAGAAUUGUACAAGCUACAAAACUCCUUUUGGUGACCAAAGCUAAAUCUGAGUGGAAAUUGGUGAUUUUAACAAAACAGUUUGAAAUUCAAAACUCAAUUCAAGGAAAUUCCAAUUUUUGAAUUGGGGCAGAUCAGAAUUUCCAAAAUUACUUUUGAUUUUCCAUAACAACUUGAAAAACUCCCAACAUGAAAGUUGUUCAACUUUUUGGGAUCUACAACUUUCAUGUUGGCCACUUUUCAAAAUUCCAAAUAUAUUUUGAAUUGGAGAUUCAAAUUGGAAAAGGGGACAGUUUCUGGAAAUCUUUAUUUUCAAAAUUACUUUGAAUUUUGUAUUGAAACUUCAAAAACUCAAAACACUAAAGUUGUACAUCUUGACAAGAUCUACAACUUUUCUUUUGAGCUCAACUUCAAAUUUUGCUUAGUUUUUAAAUUGCACAAAAGAGGGCAAUUCUAGGGUUCUAAAAUCAGGGUUUUUCCCCCCCUAAUCUCUCGGAAAUCUUUCACCCUAGGGAUUAAACAACCAACACAAGCAUCACUUCUCAACAUAAGCACACUUUACUUUCCUAAGCACAAGCAUUCAAAAUAAACUUGUUUUAAUUUGAUGCAUAAUAAUGUGCUUAACAAAUAUGCAAUGCAAUGCUCAUGAUGACAUGAUCCAGUUUUAGUAACCGUAACAUCGGGGAUGUUACAGCCCUUCCCCCUUAAAGAAAUCUCGUCCCCGAGAUUUAAAGCCUUAGGGUAUGUAAUGGAAAAGGAAAUUUGUCAAACUAUUUCACUUUCAACAUUUUCAUAAUACAAGGAGCUAGGGAAGACUACUCAAUUAUAAACAUAUAUGUACAUCAAGUACAUGGCUUUGGCUACUCUUUUUUUCCUGCAUUCGAUUACACUUUCUAUUUAUUGGAUGUUGUCUUGAAGAGAAGCAUGGAACUCAGGAAAAUUCUCUAUUAGAUAAUCUUCAGAUUCCCAUGUGGUAGUUGUUCUUCGAGUAACCCUAUCCUUGCGAUCCAAUACUCGGAUAGGAUAUUCCGCAUAGGUCAGAUCUGGUUCAAGUUCCACCUCUUCGAUAUCUUGAACUUGGUCUGGUACUCGAAGACACUUUUUCAAUUGAGACACAUGAAAUACAUUGUGUAUCCCGGAUAAUCAUUCGGGCAGUUUAAGGCGGUAAGCUACCUGUCCACAUCGGUCAAUGAUUGGAAAUGGACCAAUGUAACGGGGCGCUAACUUGCCUUUAGUGCCAAAAUGAUUUAUUCCUUUCAUUGGGGAUACUUUCAGAUACACAUGGUCACCUUUGGCGAACUUUAAGGGUCGACGUCUUUUAUCGGCAUAACUUUUCUGUCGGGACUGAGCAAUCUUCAAGUUAUUUUGGAUUUGUCUGACUUUGUUCUCAGUUUCUUUCACUAAGUCAACCCCGAAGAACCAUCUUUCUCCGGGUUCCGACCAGUGUAACGGAGUUCGACAUCGACGGCCAUAUAGUGCCUCGAAGGGAGCCAUCAUAAUACUUUCUUGGUUGCUAUUGUUGUAGGAAAACUCUGCUAGAGGCAGGCAGUCAUCCCACUUAUCUGGAAAAUUCAGGGCACAAGAUCUUAAUAGAUCUUCUAGGGUUUGAUUCACCCUCUCUGUUUGCCCACCUAUUUGAGGGUGCUAGGCGGUACUGUAUAAAAGCUUGGUGCCCAAAGAUUCAUGUAAGCAUUUCCAGAACUGGGAGACAAAUUGGGUGCCUCUAUCUGACACUAUUGUCUUUGGCACCCCAUGCAGACUUAGUAUACGAUCAAAAUAGAUCUGAGCAUAGGUGGAAGUAUGAUACGAUGUCUUUACAGGUAAGAAGUGUGCUGUUUUGGUGAGACGAUCCACAAUGACCCAAAUAGAAUCAAAGCCUUUGGCCGUCUUGGGCAAUCCUACUAUGAAAUCCAUACUAAUAUCAUCCCAUUUCCAUGCUGGAAUAGGCAAGGGUUGCAACUCUCCAGCGGAUUUGAGAUGAACAGCUUUGACCUUUCGACAUGUGUCGCAUUGGGCCACAUAGCGAGCUAUUUCUAUCUUCAUUUUCGUCCACCAAAACCUUUGCUUCAGGUCCUGAUACAUUUUAUUGCUCCCGGGGUAGAAUAUCUUGUGGUAUGACCUUCAUCCAGGAUUUGCUGACGUAGCUCAGGUACCUUUGGAACCACUAACCGGUUUUUGAACCAGAUUACUCCUGCAUCAUCCACCUUAAAGUCUGUGGGUGCUCUAUUAAAAAUUUUCUCUUUCAGAUAUUUCAUGCCUUUGUCUUCUUUUUGUGCCUAUAUGAUUUGAGCUUCGAGAUUAAAAUCAAUCUUUAGAUUGGCAAGGCUUCCUUGGGAAAUCAUUUCUAUCCCCCAGUUCUCUAGCUCUUGGCAUAAAGUUAUAUCUUUGGGCGUCACGGUUAAGCAAUUACAGUGAGCCUUACGACUGAGGGCAUCAGCUACUACGUUCGCUUUGCCAGGGUGAUAAUGCACCUCAAGGUCGUAAUCUUUGAUCAAUUCUAGCCACCUUCGCUGGCGCAUAUUAAGUUCAGCUUGAGUGAAGAUAUACUUCAAGCUCUUGUGAUCUGUGUAUAGAUGACAAGUGUUCCCCAACAGAUAAUGGCGCGAGAUCUUUAGUGCAUGUACUACGGCGGCUAGUUCAAGAUCAUGGGUUGGGUAAUUCUCUUCAUGUGGUUUAAGCUGCCUGGAAGCAUAUGCAAUUACUCGACCCUCCUGCAUUAGCACACAGCCUAUCCCUAUUCCUGAUGCGUCACAAUACACAUCAAAGGGCUUUUCAAUAUCUGGCUGGGCUAAGACAGGUGCAGUUGUCAAUAAUCUUUUCAGAGUCUGGAAGGCUUGCUCACAUUCAGGUGACCAAACAAAUUUUGUUUGAUUCUUGAGCAAGGUCAUGAUUGGUUUAGCGACUCUGGAAAUGUCCGGGAUAAAGCGACGGUAAUAUUCCGCCAUACCCAGAAAACUACGGACCUCAUGUACCGUAGUCGGGGGCUUCCAAUUCAACACAUCUUCUACUUUACCUGGGUCUACAGCGACUCCCUCCGCUGAUAAUACAUGCCCCAGGAAAUGGACUUUGUCCAGCCAGAACUCACAUUUGCUGAACUUGGCAUAUAGCUGAUGUUCCCUGAGGCGGGUCAGCACAAUUCUCAAAUGUUCAGCAUGUUCUUUCUUAGUUUUGGAAUAGAUCAGAAUGUCAUCAAUGAAGAUGACCACGAAUUUGUCCAGCUCUGGCAUGAAGACAGAGUUCAUCAAGUACAUGAAAUGGGCCGGUGCAUUGGUCAACCCAAAAGACAUCACCAAGUUUUCAUACAGCCCAUAACGGGUUGUAAAAGCCGUUUUGGGUACAUCCUCCGGCCUAAUUUUGAUUUGAUGGUACCCUGAUCUCAAAUCAAUCUUUGAGAAUACUUUAGCCCCGGCCAACUGGUCAAAUAGCAAGUCAAACGGGGCAAUGGGUACUUGUUCUUAAUCGUCACCUCAUUCAGGGGACGAUAAUCAACACACAGCCUUAAUGUUUGAUCUUUCUUUUUCACAAAUAAGGCUGGGCAACCCCAUGGAGAGGAACUGGGCUGAAUAAAACCUUUCUGCAACAGCUCUUGUAGUUGGGUUUUUAAUUCGGCCAGUUCUUUUGGUGCCAUUCGGUAGGCCCUUCGAGAUAUUGGGGCUGUCCCUUGUUUCAAUUCUAUGCUGAACUGGACAUCCCGGUCCGGUGGCAGACCUGGUAGGUCUUCAGGAAAAACGUCUGGAAAAUCCCGAACCACUGGGAUAUUUUUGACUGCAGCCACAUUAGUGGCAUGAACCUACCCAAUUGAACAUUUGGGAGUAGCUAACUGGAUUAGAAGGUAAGAAUUCUCAUUGGGCAAUGGGAUUUUAAUGGUUCGAUGCAAGGUAUCUAGCACAACCCCUCGUUGUGCCAUCCAGUUCAUGCCUAGUAUGACAUCAAUCUUCUGGUCUUUAAGAACAAUCAUGCUAGUGGGAAAACUAGCCCACCAAAUUCGAUGGGUAUCUGGUGAACCAUUUCAUUAGAACUCAGCCGUUCUCCUGGCGACUGUAUAUAAAAAUGAUCUUUUGUUUCCCCAAUGGGUAUGCCAUGCUUUAUCACGAAGGUGCGGUUGAUGAAUGUAUGAGAUGCACCAGAAUCGAAAAGCAUUAAAGCAGGAUGUUUCGCAAUAGGAAAUGUACCCAUCAUCACCGGUUCUCCUUCCGGUAUCCUCUCCACCUCUGUAUGGAAGACUUGUCCCGCUUUCUUUAUGGGUUUACCCCUUUGCACAUUUUGUCCUUUCUGAGCCCGAGUCCUGAAUUGGCUCUGCUGGGGUUGGCCAAUGGGUGGCCUUUGGAAAGUGGGGUUGGUUUGGCGGGGGUAGGGGCAUUCUUUGGAAAAAUGCCCAGGCUUACCACAAUUGAGACAGGGAUAAUUGUGGUUGGGUGGAGCAGUGGGAUGAACACCUGGGGCGUUCGGUUGGUGUGGUGCAGUGGCGAUGGCAGUAGGUCGAGGAUAUACCUGCUGCCCUGGUCUAUAUUGUGGAUGGGAAAAGGGACCACGAUAAGGUGACAGCGCUUGAAAGCGUCCGUGGCCCUGUGGAUGAUAAAUGAUUCUCUGGCGCUUUUGACCGCGACCAGAGAAGGAGGAAGAAGCGGCCUUCUUCUUGGCUUCUUUGUGCUUUCUAUUCUUUUCUUCUGAGGCGAUGGCAAUAUUUACCGCCUCGUAAAAGGUAGCAUUUUGACAGGUGGUCAUCAUGGUUUGAAGUUUGGUAUUGAGACCACGCAUGAAGCAGGCCUUCUUCUUUCUAUCCGUGUUCACAUGGUCUGUGGCAUAUUGAGAAAGAUGAUUAAAUUUUGCCACGUUCUCCAUGACACUUUUAUCGCCUUGUUGCAAGGCGAGAAAUUCUUCGGCCUUCAUGGCCAUAAGCCCUUCGGGGAUAUAGUGGGCGCGGAGCGCGUCCUUAAAUUCUGUCCAGGUGACCUGGUGUCCUGGACCUUGGAUAGCUAGAAAAUUCUCCCAGCAGGCACUCGCAGCUCCCCGAAGCUGUUGAGCUGCGAACAGGGGCUUCUGAGUUUCCGAACAUCGGAUCAGACUGAACUUGUGCUCCGUUAUUCGGAGCCAGUCAUCAGCCUCUAACGGCUCAUCAGCCUUGGUGAAUACCGGGGGCCUUGUCUCGGUAAAGUCCACGUACCGAGUUUCUCCCUCCCCAUUGUGCUGUGCUCUGAAGUUUGGGGCGGGGUGUGGUUGGCGUUGUGCUAACUCGCGCAACAAGCGUGCGUUGUCGGUGGUGGCACUCAAAAGAACAGCAAUGGCAUCAGCCAGGGAAGGUGGAGCAGGUGGAGGGUUGGGGAUGUCAUCCCCUCCCUUAGAGGAACCGGCUCCAUCAGAUCCAUGAGUACGCAUCGGCAUCUGCUACAAGAGUCAUAUGUACUUGUUACCACAUGAAUUCAUAACUUAGAACAUAUCUUACAUACUUCCAUUUAUUUAUCAAACAUCAGUUCAACACACUGGAAAUAAACAAGUACAACUUUUAAAAGAAAAGACACUAUACUACAAACCCGACCCCACUACGGUAAACUAGGAAUCCUACAACGACGUUGCCCGCGACUUCACCGAACUAGUCGGUGUGGCCAGAGCUGUAGCCCUGGUCGUCAUUGCCAUCGUCCUGAUUACCCCCCGGGUUAUCAUCACCGGAGUCAGAUUCCUCCUCGUCACUGAGGUCUUGGUCGGGUUCCCCAGCAUCCGCCAACUCUCCAUCCGUAUCCAUCUCCCCUUCACCUGGAGGUGGAUGGAGCUGAUGAUAUAGGUCGAAUGCAAUAUCAUGGUAUUGCAUUGCCAAGUCGUUGACGGUGUCUAAAUGAUGUGCCAGCUCAAGCUUCUCUAGCUGUAGCUGGUCCUCCCGCUGCCACGCGACAUCCCUUUGCACGGUGACAGUGGCCGCCAUCUUCACGUACAGAUCUUUAAGGUACUUGGUUUUGUCCAGCUUUGCCUUCAUCCUGGUCAGCUCGUGGCUGUGUGCGCUCCUGGCCUCCUCUUCUCGGGCAAUAGCGGCAUUCCUCUCCUCCACCAUACGGGACAGCAUGGCCUCGCAGUUCUCUGUGGCUUGUUUUUGUUUUAAUAAUUGAGCUUUUAGUUCACCAAUCUCCAUGACGUUGUACAUCCUUUCUCUCGUCACUUCGGUUAGCUCGGCAGACAACCUUUCCACCUCUUGCUGCGAGGGUGAACGGCUACUGCUUGCUUGAUCGCUUCGCGGGGCCAACUGGUGUUUAGGGACCCCUUUAGGACCAGUUCACUUGCGCGGGGUCUGCUUCUAACGAGCCAUCCUGUAGAGGGUAAGUUUAGAUUAGUAAGGGAGAACUUAAAGGUUAGGAAGAAUGGGAUUGAUUCAAUACAACCCAACCCAAACAAGGAGGAAGGAACUUAACCAAGUGAUAUAUCAUGAUGCAUGCACGUACUUAUGAUUCCUAUUCGCAAUUCAUAACGAUAUUACUUCAAAUUUUAACAACAUAGGGCAAUACUUUAUGUUGCUCCUCCAUACCACUUCAAAAAUUCUAAGAAGGCCUACAGACAAGGGUAAGAUAAGACUAAAGCACUUGGACUCAAAAUAGGCAAGUUUAUAGUAUUGGAUCCAAAUGAGUUUUGAAGUUUUUCAAAGGAUACAGCAGUCAUCUUAGCAACGAAUGCUCUGAUACCACGCUGUGGCAGAACCUCCUAAGUGUUUGGGCCCACCGACACCUGUCAUUGUCCCAAGGACCUCUGACGGUGAUGCCGGGGAUCCCCCACUCUAGAAGUCCGAUGAGCAUCUCAGGACGCUCAUUCCACCGCUACCUGGGGCGUAUCAAACAAGCUCGUCUUGACCACCAGCAGUGGUCAAUUAACGAAAAUUUCUUCUUCUCGCCCUUACAGGAUAGCAAGUGGCCACCUUAACACCAGGAUCACUCGUUGCGAAGACAUUGCAGUAUCACAGACGACACAAGACCAAAAUAAUAUUUCAGUGUAAAACAGCGGAAGUAUUACAUAACUUAAUUUACAAAAGGAGUUCUUCCAAAUAGUAUAGUGUUAUUACAAGCCAGGUCCAGCGGAGCAACUUAAACUUUAGCACAGAGAUUACAAAUUUACAGACCCUGCCCAUGGGUCACGCUCACUCUUCCUCGUCGUCAACCUCGACGACGGUCACACAACAGGGUCCGAAACAAGUCGGCUCCUGAGCUUCACCUGCAACAGGGGUUAUGGAACCCUGAGUACGGGAGUACUCAACAAGACUUACCCGGUGGAAAAAGAGGAGAAAUCAGGAAUGCAGGCUUAGGGUAGACAAGGAGUGGCUGAGCAAGGAGCCAAAAUGUUUUGCGGAAAAGCUUACUAAUAGUGCAUCCUUACUUUCAAGUUUUACCCGCCAAUUCCUCUCCUUAAGUGGCCGAGGAGUUCGAGGACAAGCUAACUAGUUGUCUCCCACAGACAAGUCUGUGAGUUCCUAGUCCUAAAUUAAAGUGUUAUUUAUUCAACGGCCAUAGCUUCAUGUCACUCUGGGUCCGGGAAUUGGGAUCCGAACCUCAUGAGACAUUUUUCCUUCUCUCAUUUUAUCACUUAGUUGCAUAAUUAACUACGAUGAGGGUCAGUGGAUUGAGUCUCCCAAUCGGGGAGCAACGACGAUUCGAACCGCUUAGCAAUCCAGCUGGAGUUCCUAACCACCCGACAUAUGUAGAACCAAAUCGUGCAUACGUCAACCCAAAUCAAGCUCUCCCCAAAUUUGACCAGGUUCGCGGCACCCGAGAGCACAGUACUCCACCAUCCUAUAGCCGAUCUAGAUGUUUUCCGGUCAUCUCAGAUCCGUAAGGUGGGUACACACUACUCUCGCCAUCGCUCCACGCCCAGUGCGCGAGUAGCUGUUCGCGUCGAGGGAUCACAAGACCGGGCUUACGAACGGCAAGUGGCUAGUACUAUAAAUUCUCAACCCAGCGGGCCAUCAACGGACCGGUCCUUAACCGACACAGUUGGAGACACUACUUUAAGACUCCAUUCUUAAAGCAAGUCCACCGACCGGUCUCAAAUUGAAACUUCAUUGAGCAUAAGUGUAUUCCACAACAACCCUUCAAACUUUCUUAUUUGAAAGCCUAUCUAGUAGCAGGGCUAAGCAUUACUACGCAGUUUUUAAAAUAAAACAGGUGCCAAGGACAAGAUAACAAAUAUCAAGGUAGUAAAUGCAGUAAGUAGGUUAACCCAAUUCUUGACUACCUAAUGCGGCAUUUUCAAUUCAUAAGUGAUAAAAGAUUUAAAACAUUCAAGGAGGGGUUCAUGCAUCCGGGGCUUGCCUUGGUUGCAGAGCUGAGAGGGUUCCUCGGAGACUUCCCAAGUCUCGGAUCCUACUUCCUCGAAUGGAGCACCGACCUCGGGGUUCGGUUCAACGGUCGCUCCUUCGGUCACGUGCACUAUACGCAAAAUGAUGAAUGCUCAUGAUAUGCAUAUGUCAAAUAUUUAAGAAGGACCGAGUUAACUACAACGGGCCUUCUUGGUGCAAUACAGACUGAACAAUAAUUAAAGUUGUUUAUCAUCUUAGUAUCUUUACCCAAGAGGUUACAUCAGUAAACUAAGAUUUCUCUUAAUUCAUAAUUAUCCUAAAUUAACUAAUUAUUAAUCCUUUUUAUUUUAAUUAAUUCUUGAUUAAGUAUUAAUGACAGUAAUUAAACAUUAAUGCCAAACAAUAAUUAAAUGCCAAAGGUCAUUAAGGUUAAUGACCUCAGGUCGUCACACAAUCCCAAAAUCACUCAAACCCUAAUUUUGAGAAUUUAACUAAUUAUUAUCUAAUUAUUCUAGAAUUAUUAUUUAAUUACUAAUCAAGGGUUUAAUAAUAUUUUAUUCAAACAUUAUCCAAAUGCCACCAAAUUUUGUGUGGAGCCAGGGAAUAAUAUUCAGAGGCAUCCCACAAAUUUUGGUAAUUUUUGGACAUAUCACUAAAUUAUUAAAAUUCAUAGAAGUUUUAUUUACUAAUUAAAAGAGACAAUUUUUAUAAACAUUCAAACUACCAGAAAAUAGCACCUAAUAUUUUUCCUAUGUUCUAUCCAUUUUAUUGAAUCUAUACAAAAAUUUCCAUGAUUUUUGAAUUAGUAUACAAUUUUCUACACAAUUCUACAAAUCAAGCAUUUUUAAACAAAAAGGAAAAAGGAAAAACACACUGCGCUAUGCGGCCGGCCCGCUUCGCUUUGGCCCAAGCCGGCCCGAGAACCUCCCGCGUCGCGCGCGGGCGCUGCUCGUCACAUGCGGCCACUGACGGGCGGGUCCCGCCCGUCAGAUUCUCCUUCCACCUCCCGUCGCGGCUCCGGUGAGCUCAAGCUCAUCGCCGGAGAGCUCCCGGCCUCUGCGGUAGGGUGGGCUAGCACCUUCGGCCUCUCGCGCAACCCCUGGGACACACGGGACAACCCCUACUCCCUCCUAACCCUCCUGCUCACGUCCACGGCGGACGGCGACACUAACGGCGCGAGCACCGGCCACUACAAGCGGGUAGAACGCGAACCAACCAGCGCAUAAGCUUCAGGGGCUCACUGCGACUUCAACGGAGCAACGAGCGGCGAUGGAAAGGCUUAGAGCAGCUCUGGCCGCGGUGAAGUACUUGCGGCGGUGCUUCGGCCGGAGUUGAAGGAGAACGGCUCGGUUGCGGGCUAGGGGAGGCUAGAGCUCGCGACAAAGGGUCCACGGAGUAGCUGAGCUCAAGGCGAAGCUCUGGAGGUGCUUUGGGGGCUCAGACAGGGAGUGGACACGACGAAUUUUGUGGGCGGCGAAGUUCACCGGCGUCGGGCGCGAGAGAAAUAAACGGAGCACGUCGGCCGGUGGAGUGGCUUAUAUCACGAACGGAGGAGACGCCCAGCUUCGACGUCGCCUGGCGACACUGGCAGGCAAGCAGGCUGCGUGCACGCAUGCAUGCGCGCGGCGCUGCCCGCGCGGCGGCUGCGCUGGACAGGGGCGCCGUGAUCCCUAUCGGAUCACUGUAGCGAGCUUUAUCCAACCCAUUUUGUGGUUUUGCAAAAUCCGCCCAAAUUUUGAACUGAAGACAAAAUUCCACCAAAAUGAAAGUUGUGCAGAAUUUUACAAGCUACAAAACUCCUUUUGGUGACCAAAGCUAAAUCUGAGGGGAAAUUGGUGAUUUUAACAAAACAGUUUGAAAUUCAAAACUCAAUUCAAGGAAAUUCAAAUUUUUGAAUUGGGGCAGAUCAGAAUUUCCAAAAUUACUUUUGAUUUUCCAUGACAACUUGAAAAACUCCCAACAUGAAAGUUGUUCAACUUUUUGAGCUCUACAACUUUCAUGUUGGUCACUUUUCAAACUUCCAAACAGAUUUUGAAUUGGAGAUUCAAAUUGGAAAAGGGGACACUUUCAAGAAAUCUGUAUUUUCAAAAUUACUUUGAAUUUUGUAUUGAAACUUCAAAAACACCAAAGUUGUACAUCUUGACAAGAUCUACAACUUUGCUUUUGAACUCAACUUCAAAUUUUGCUUAGUUUUUAAAUUGCACAAAAGAGGGCAAUUCUAGGGUUCUAAAAUCAGGGUUUUUCCCCCCUAAUCUCUCGGAAAUCUUUCACCCUAGGGAUUAAACAACCAACACAAGCAUCACUUCUCAACAUAAGCACACUUUACUUUCCUAAGCACAAGCAUUCAAAAUAAACUUGUUUUAAUUUGAUGCAUAAUAAUGUGCUUAACAAAUAUGCAAUGCAAUGCUGAUGAUGACAUGAUCCAGUUUUAGUAACCGUAACAUCGGGGAUGUUACACCUAUGCUAAUCUGAAUCUUAAUAAUAAAACUCUAGCAUGGAUAUGAUGAAUAGUUGCUCUGCCUAAUUUGCAAAUUUGAAGUUCUCUCUCAAGUUUAGACAUAACUGUUAUAAUUUAAAGCUUGCUCUAGAUCUAAACUUGUGGGAUAAAAACUUGAUGUGAAAUCUAAGUUGUUAACGGAUAUGAUAUGGGAAGGUUGAGCUGCUGUUUAUCUGUUCCUAGAGAUGCUAGAAUUCUAGAGAAUUUUAUCUUUGAAAAAUCUUUAAAAUAUUGCAUGAUGAGUUCCUGUAUGAUAAAAGUUUAAAUUCCUACCACAGCCAUAUAUACAUGCUUGCUAGACUUUGAGCCACACAUUUACUAUUUACUGCUUAUGAGCAUUGAGUGUGGUCAAGCUGUGUAGACCCUUAGGAGCUUGUCAUGUGGUUAAAUCAAGAUUUCACUUGCACAUUCACUCAUAUAUGCUACUUCUACUCCGGAAGUACCAUCCACAUAUAUCCACUCAUUUCCAUCUCCAGAACCACCCAAAAAUAUUCUACUCCUAAUCCGGGAGAGAAUAACCAAAAAUAUUUCUAUUUUUCCUUGUGAAAUAAAUGCUCAAGUUAUCUUGCUACUACCACUUGCCAUAUUAUCUCAAGAGAUGAGUGCUCUGAAAAAAAAAUAAAAAAAUAAAAAAAUAAUAAACGAGGAAAUAAAAAGGGGCAAGUGCCCGGAACCUCGAAAGAAAGAAAAAGUGAGACGAGAGGUAAAAAUGGACAAGUGUCCGACAGUAGAAUUAGGGGUACAAGAUACCCACCUGAGAGGAAAGAAAAAGAAGAGCAUCUCAUUCUCCUCAUAAAGUUUCAAAAAGCAAGGAACGUAUGUAUCCCCUCAAAACAGCAAAAUUAGAAUUAGACUUUCACCAUUAUUAUCACCAUCAUCACCAUACACCAUUCAUCCGCCACACAUGCACAUCUUGGUUUGACUUAUUGACUUGUUUCUCUGGAUCCUUGGUUUGACUAUGCAAUAAAUGUCUUGUAAGUAUGUAUUAGCUGUCUCCCACCUAUGAGCUCCAGAUAUUAAAGCCUUAUUAGAGUUGGGUGAGAGAGAAGGCAAUGUCACUAUGCCUUAUACCACAAAUACCAUAUAUCUUGAGAGAAGGCAUAUACCAUCACUGCCUUGGUAAGGAUCCAGAAAUACCACAAAAGAGAGAUUUAGAGAGUCAUACAAGGAAUCUCUGAGUUUUAUUUGAAAAUCUGCAAAAACUCCAGAGCUAUAGCUGAUGAAGAAUUAUAGACAUAGCACUUGGCUAGACUGUUCUAUCUUUUAACUACUCAAGACAGAAGUGACGGUUACAAGUCCCAUGGUGAAAGGUAAAGUAGGUAAGUUUUAGUUCUUGACAGUUUACUCUAACUUAGAGAUGAGAUCUUAUUUAAAAGCAUGUGUACCGUCAAAUUUUUUAAGAUAUUGCAACAACUUCUGAUCCAGUGCUGAGUCUAUCCUUGCUCAGGGAUGAGCAAGAGGUAAGCUUGGGGGAGUUUGUUGACGGUCCUUAAGUAUUAAAUUUAAUUAUCAAAUAAACAAAGCAAAGGAUCCAAAUGAAAUCAACAUCUUGACUUAGGGUUUUAUCUGACAGAAUUCCAUGAGUUCUGGUGUUUGUCUAUUUCUGCAGGGGGUUAUCAGGAAAUACGGAAGAAAGGCCCACAUGUCGGGAUUACAUAGAGAUAUCAACGUACCGCGCAAUUAUUUUACAUCUAGAAGACUCCAGAAGCCACGGGAAGGAAGCGGAGGCCGAACGGAGCCAGGACCUGGGCGCCCGCCCUGCUAUAGUGGCCAAUCACGUUCAACCUCGCGGAUUAUGCUCCACCGACCUAAAGGAUCAAGAAUAACCAUUCAAUCAAUGUCGGUUUGAUUCGACGGCCAAGGUUCACUUGAGGGGACUAGAUAACCAGACCCCCUGGCCCCUGGAGGAGGCAAACCCUUGAUCAUUAUUCAUUAUUCAUAGACAGAGCAAAAGCUAGGGUUUAGAGAUGAGAGCUCUCCUCUCUUCUCUAAACUAGAGUAGAUCUAGAUAGUAGCAAGAUGGGGAGCGAAGGAGGAUUAGAGGAGAGGCCGGCC
rnacentral:lncRNA from 1 species